UACAAGAUCUAAAAGCUGUAGGAAUAAGACUUAAGACAAGCAUGACACAAAGGCCAAGAGACAUAGAUUUCUGCGGAGGAUGGUUCGCUGCAGAACUGACUCUUCCUAUGAUCAUUGUGACCAACGGUUCAGCCCAUAUGUUCCUCAACCUGAUAGCAUAUGAGAUGUGUCCAGAUUUUGAGAACGAUUACGAAAUUUGUUCUUUUCUAGCUUUCAUGGACUCGCUCAUCGACCAUCCUGAAGACGUGAAGGAAUUGAGAUCAAAUGGGAUUUUGCUCAAUAAACUUGGGAGUGAUGAGGAAGUUGCCCAUCUUUUCAAUAUCAUAAGUACUGACUUGGUACGAAACACAUACAUAUACCAUGACGUUAAAUGGAAAAUAAAUGAUCAUUACUGUAAUAAAUACAAGACUUGGAUAGCGCAGGGUUUUCACACUUACUUCAACAGUCCUUGGGCCAUUAUUGCAUUCAUUGCUGCGGUUGUCGUCCUUGUUCUUACUUUCAUUCAGACAUGGUUUACAAUUCACCCGACUAGCAAAUAAAAGUGAUUCGUUAUGACAAUGUUGUUUUCAUUAUGGCACUCAACACUUCUCUGUGGAUUGUGUUGAAUUUUUUUAAUGAAAUUUUUUUAGGUUAAGUUUGCGUGUACGUUUUAGCUAUGAGUAUUUCAAAAAGAAAGAGUGCCUUUAUAUUUCUACUGUGUGUUUGAAUUGAAACUUGAAUAAAUUAAUAUUCUCACUGAUGAUCUACGUGUUUCUAUAUUGUUGAGAUUAUGUUGAUUUUGUUUAGUUGAGUUAUUUAAUUGUGUUCAUCGACAUUGCAAUAAGUGAAUAGACUCAAGUGGGUUCAUAAGACAAGUAUAUAUUAUAGGUUGGGUAUUCAUAGACAUGACAAAGCACAAAGUAUUUUUGUUUAUGUUAUGAAUCAUGGAAUCCUAGGGAUAAAGAUCAUAGUGAUCGAUCAGCUAGAAAGAGAGCAUAGGUCUAUUAAUGUGGGAGAUACACAUAGUGACUCAUAGUAGAGUAAACUAGAUUAGAUAAAAGAAGAAUAGAGUACACUGGUGAGGGUUAUUUAUAGGGGUGAGUUAGUCUAACUAACUCCUAACCUACCAACUAACCAUAGUUUACAUAUCAACUAACUAUGGUUUACUCACUAUACUCUAAUAAUCUCAGGGAUAAAGAUCAUAUUGAUCAGCUAGAAAGAGAGCAUAGGUGUAUUAAUGUGGGAGAUACCCAUAGUGACUCAUAGUAGAGUAAACUAGAUUUGAUAAAAGAUGAAUAGAGUACAAUGGUGAGGGUUAUUUAUAGGGGUGAGUUAGUCUAACUAACUCCUAACCUACCAACUAACCAUAGUUUACAUAUCAACUAACAAUGGUUUACUCACUAUACUCUAAUAGUCCCCCUCAAACUCAAAAUGGGAAAAUUCACCAAUUUGAGUUUGAAAAUACAGUGAAAAUACUAUGAUGAACUAUACUGUAGACCAAGUAAACUAGACGGUGAACUAAGUAAAACAAAAACUAAUGGGAAAUGAUGCAGCCCAAUGCAAAAUUAUAAUCUGUCCAUAGCCCAUUUGCAAGGAAUUUCCAGUAGGUACACAUUGCCACUCCCAUUGUGAAAGUUCCAAAACAUCGUAAUGAAGGAGAAACGCCAUGUUGCUAACUGAACGUACUUUACCAAAAUAGCUUGUACCAAACGUGCUUUUCAAAAAUCGCUUUUCCAUAAUCUGUAAAGUGAUUAGUCUUCUGUAAAGAGAAACAAGAUAACGGGAUAAUCCUCUUGUGCAAAACGUGCUUCUUCCAGAAAUAGCUUUUCUGAAUGAAAAAUAACUUAUGCCAAAAGCACUUUUCCAAAAAACAGCUUUUCUAAAAAUCGAAAUUCUGAAACGCACUUUUGUGAUUCUGUGAUUGUCCAAACGCAAGUCUGAACGGAAUCAAAACAACUCAUACCAAACGCGUUCUUCCAAUAAGCACUUCUCCAAAAUCCGAUUUAAAAUAACUUCUUCAAAACGUGCUUAUGUAAAGCUUCUUUAAACUGGAAUGAUGAAUCUGAGAUGAUUGAAACACGAAUUUGCGAUAUCAGAGAACAAUACAAAGCCGCAAACAAGGAAUCUCAGAUCAGAGAGCUAAUUUACGAUGUAGAGAGGAAGAAGGAGACGAACGCCAAAAGGCUCAAAUCUUGUUGUGUCGAGUAUCAGAAAGAACGAUACCUAUGUCGAAAAUGUGCCACCGUGAAUAACCGUUUUCCUUCCUCUAUCCCAAGGUAUCCACCACAAACGGAAGGAACGAUAUCAGAGAACAAUAAAAGCAGAGAACAGUGAAGACAAAUGUGUUCUUCCGCCGGGAUCGAAUUCCACAAUAAACUCGUCAUGUAAUGUGAAAAACAAAAGUUUAUUGUUGUCUGAGGAAACCAGCGGUUCAGUCUGUUUUCCAAUGAACAACCACAAAGCCAAAGGCUUCACGGCGGCGACGCCGUAAACAGAGCUCCUCAAUCUCACCGGUAAAGUUGUGAUGAACUCUUUCGACACUUCAGAAAUAACGAAAUCAGAGUCGCGAUUCUUCAAUUCAGGUUCAAGAACUUCCAAUUUCUCAUCUUCUUGCGAUUCAAUGAACACACAAUCGUCUUCUUUGACGAUGUUGCAGCAAGGAUCGACGAUUACGCAAGAAAUCUCACCAAUCUUGAUGAAAAUCCAUCAAAUUUUGGUUUGAUUGAAAGGUUAGAAACCGGUAUGAUUGGAGAAUCAAAACUGCCGAAAAGGACGCAAUCUUGAGAAGUUGAAGUAUCCUAAAAUGCAGAAGUUGCGAAAACCGCAUCAUCAAAUUCUUCAUCUUCGUGGAAGCGGAAGCAUCAUCAACUUCAUCCCUAGGGUAUCACUCUGAUACCAUGUUAUGAAUCAUGGAAUCCCAUGGAUAAAGAUCACAGUGAUCAGCUGAAAAGAGAGCAUAGGUGUAUUCAUGUGGGAGAUACACAUAGUGACUCAUAGUAGAAUAAUCUAUAUUUGAUAAAAGAUGAAUAGAGUACACGGGUGAGGGUUAUUUAUAGGGGUGAGAUAGUCUAACUAACUCCUAACCUACCAACUAACCAUAGUUUACAUAUCAACUAACUAUGGUUUACUCAUUAUACUCUAAUAAUCCCAGGGAUAAAGAUCAUAGUGAUCAGCUAGAAAGAGAGCAUAGAUGUAUUCAUGUGGGAGAUACUCAUAGUGACCCAUAGUAGAGUAAAUUAGAUUUCAUAAAACAUGAAUAGAGUACAAUGGUGAUAGUUAUUUAUAGUGGUGAAUUAGUAUAACUAACUCCUAACCACCUAACCUACCAACUAACCAUAGUUUACAUAUCAACUAACAAUGGUUUACUCACUAUACUCUAAUAGUUUACGAAAUAACCUACCAACAAAAUUCAACUGAAAUCUAAUCACUAGCUAUGAAAAUGACAAACUUGAUGAAUAAUUUCUUUAUCAACUUCAGCACAAACAUUUUUUUAAGGAAACUUCAGCACAAGCUUUUUCACAUUUAAGUGCAAUAGAAAAGCGGAGAAAUAGACACCUUAGUUCCCAUCUUUGAACGAACUUAAAAACAAAAAAGUCCAUUAUUUUAAGGCUCAAGUUGUCAAAAGUAGUAAGGUAACAAUGACAUUUUAUAGAUUUGAUGAAAUUAAGAGACUUCAUAUAUUUUACAAGAGUCAAAACUCUGUCAAAUUCAAAAGCAUUCGAACACCUAGAAAAAUUCUUAUAAAUUUAGUAUCUUAAAAUUUCUUAAAUGUCGGAAGUUUCUCAUUCUUAAAGUUAGAUUACCACUCUUUGAGAUCUGAAAGUGUAAACACAUACAUAUUUAUUUGUAAACUCUAAGUGUAGAAUUCAUCUUGUUGAGGCAAAAAAGUCUUUGACUUGUGUGUUGGGGCAAUUAUGUGUUGGAGCAACUGUAAUCUUCUGUGAUUAUAGUGAAAAAAAUCUCUUAUAAGUUCAAGGGGACUAGACUAACCUUGGAUUCUGGGGUGAACCAGGAUAAUUUUAUCUCUCUGUACUCUCUCUGAUUAUCUUGCUUUGCUAUGUUUUGUUUAAACACUUUAAAAGAUUUUCAGCAAAAAUCAAUACAAUUCAAACCCCAUUCUUGUGUUUUUAUCAUCUUCAUAUAUUAUUACUGUUAAUGAAAUAGCAUCAAUGUUCGCAAAAAAAAAAACGGAAAACAACUUUAAUGUUGCUGCUAUAAUUAUGUUUAUGAAGUUUCUUUUGAAUAUAGAAAGACGAUCUAAAGGUUGAAUUUUUUUAUGACAUCUUACUGGCAUAUUUAGAACUUUAAAAUACAGUUUUCCACCAAAAAAAUAGAAAUUUUCCACAAAAGUAUGAUUAAUUAUGAAUUUUCAUUCCUUGUAAUUAAGAAUUUUUUAAACAAUUUAUAAUUAAUUCAUUCCUCGUUUAAAAACUCUAAAAUUUUAUGGUGAAGAUUCUUAUGUUGUUAUAACUAUGCAUAAAUAAUCAGGGAACAAAAUUUAACACGUGCCUAUAUGCUUACUCAGAACGAAAUUGUAAUUUUACUCGGAACGAAUUUUCAUUACGAAAUUGUAAUUUUGUCGGUAAAAUUUUGUAAACUCUGAUUGUAAUGCUUACUCAGAACGAAAUUUUGGUGUCAUUAAAAAAAACAUUUAGAUUAUAUUUUUUGUUGUUGUUAUAUUACAUUAUUGUCGGUGUCGUUAAAAUAGAUAAUCAUGGUUAGUGUGAUUUUUUAUAACUUGAAAACAACAAACAUUUAUAUUUUUUUAGUUUUAAUCAAAAUCAAAAUUUCAUAAAAAGAAAUUUGAUGGGUGUUACUUUGUAAUUUUCUUCUAUCACUCUCCGUUGUGGUUUUUGUAUUGGGAUAAUACUCUAAACUUCGUAUUUUGGUGGGUGGUUCUCUUUUGCACGUUUUGUGUGAGAUGAAUCACCUUGUGUGAUCUACAUAUUCCAUUUUGAUUUGUUCAAAAACAAAAUUCAUAAAAAGAACACCGUUCAUAAUAUUCAAAUGUUAGCGCAAUAAAAAGAGCGGAAAGACGAGCACAUGAGUGCCAAUCUUUUCGCUAGUAUAUAUAAAGAAAACUACCUCUUUCAGCACUUUUGGGUUGGAUUUUUCUAUUCAAAAAUACCCUUAAUUUUCAAUACAAAUAACACAUGUAACAAAUAGAUAAGAAUAAAUUUAAAUAUUAAAAAAAUAUAACAAAUACGAUAUGAAUUUAUAAAUGUCCAAUUUUUUCCUUUAUCUUUUAAAAAGUGUAACAAACUGAAUAAGUAUAUUUAUACUAACUUUUUCAUUAUUCCAAUUAUACCCUUAAACAAUUUUUUUCUAUAAUAAAGAUUGUUGUUAGUGUCAUUAAAAAAAUAAUUUAGUUUAGUUUAGUUUGUUAUAACUUGAAAACAAUAAACAUUUAUAUUUUAAUUUUAAUCAAAAUCAAAAUUUAAUAAAAAAAUCACCGUUCAUAAUUUUCAAAACUUACCGCAAUAAAAAGAGCGGAAGUGUCCGUCUUUUCGCUAAUAUAUAUAUAUAUAGAGAGAGCGCAAUUGUGCUUGUUUUCGCUAAUGAAGUAAGGCAACAAUACCAUAUAUUUAAAUCACAUUCAUCUCAAAUUUUUAUGUGUAUCUUGUAACACUCUGUUUUCACGUUUCAUGUAUGUAGUUGCUGCACACUCUUGUUUAUUUGUUUUAAGUAUUUUAGAAAUGCCCAUAGAUAGUAAAACCCAUGGGGAAAGUUUCUCUCGGAAAAACAUGAACCUGAAUCGUAUUUUACAGUUGAUUAGAUGUGCAUUAGAUUUUUUUUUUUUUAUUUUUUUUUAAUUUUUUUUAUGAAACUAUAAGAGUGUGCUUGGAUGGGAGAAUAUUUUGAGGUAAUGUAAUGUUUUGAGGGGAUUCAAUUAUUUUGAGGUGGAUUCAAACAAUAGAAUUCAUCUCAAAGUAGUUAAAUUCCUUCAAAACAUUACAUUCCCUCAAAACAUUUCCCCAUCCAAACAUACCCUAAUGAAAUAUAUUAACCAAGGUUCUUAGCAUUUCCCGCACAAGGAGUGCCAGAAGAGGAUUAAGAGAGAAAAUUAUUUGUACAUCAGAAAAACAAAAAAAAAAAAAAAUCAAAGCGAUACAACCACAUAACUGACACACUAAAACACAAAGAAUGAAGCUAAAUAUUAAGUCCCAAACACAUAAGGAGAUUAAGCUACCACAUAUGGUAGUUAAAAGCAAAAUUAAGGUGAUUUGCUUUUAACCACCACAAGGAUUGAAGCUUAAAUUUAUCUAGAAGAAGUUGAAAAGGAUCCCCUUUUUGUUGAAAAGCUCUAGCAUUUAUGUCUCGUAAAAUAGUCCAAACACAAGAGAACCAAAUCAAACGAAAAGCAUGACAACUGUUUCUUGAGAAACCACCUAACGAUCGAAAUUGAAGUAAGUGGUCCUUAACAUGAGUUGGCUUGACUGAAACCCAACCCAGCUAAUUGUAAAUAUCUAAUCAUAUUUUACCAAAAUAGUCGCAAGUCAAAAUCUCAUGAUCAAUAUUCUCUUCAGAGCCGCAAUCACCCGAGCAAAAAUGAUUAUUCGGUUGAAACACCCUUCUCCUGAUUAAGUAUAUGUUGUUGGAAGACGGUUACGCAAUAAGCGUCAAGCAUAAAUGUUGAAUUUUAAAAGGACCUCUUUGUGCCAAAUGGUUUUUGGUUGAUCGUUGUCUAAAUGUUGAUCUCGAUCCCUUGCUGUUAAAUAGUUGUAAACACUAGUAACAUUGUAUCUUGAAGAGGCAUGAAAUUGCCAAAUCCACAUAUUAUUCACAUCAGCAUGCAAAGCAGUGGGUGAUAAAAGCACACAACACUCGCUCUCUAGUUCCUCCUCCCAAGACAACAAUCUCCACUAUCAUUUCCAAGCCACACCACCCUCCCCCAACCUAUUCUUCAUAAAACAACCUACUUAUUCAGCAAGGUCAAAAAUGCGACUGAAUCUAUUCUUCAAUCCUCCCUCCAUCCAAGUAUCCCACCAAAACAAAGUACAUAUUCCAUCUCCCACGUAAUGUCGUAAGUAAUCGAUAAACAACCUACUUACCCCCUCUGCGCCACCCUUAAUACUAAUCAAAUUUUCCACCACACUGAAGCUACUUUUCCUCCAUCACUGAUAGUUCCACUUUCCUCACCAUACCUCGUUGUUGAGAUUCGAUACCACAAACAACCUUUUUUUCUCGCUCAACCUCCAACACCACUUAGUGAGUAAAGACAAAUUAAUCUAUCUAAUCCUUCUGACCCUCAGACCUCCAUCCUCCAUUUUUAAGAAAUAAUAUCUCAAUUCAUCCAAGAUAUUUUCCUAGAAUCCUCACUCCCCAACCCCCCAAAAAAAUCAAUUAAAAAUAUAUUAAGGAGAAUAAAUCAUACAUGCGGGAGCAUUGAAUAAGAAAAUAAAAUAGACAAGUAGAGAUGACAUAAUAGACUUCAAAAGAACCAAACAGCCACCCAAAGUUAAAUAUCUACUCUUCCACCCAAUAGUUUAUAAUUAACUCACUCAAACAAGGGAUUCCAAAAGUUAAAUUUAUGGGACUCACCACCAAUAGGGAGACCCAAAUAAAAGAAAGGUACACGACUAGUUUUAUAAUUUAACACUAUUGAAGCCUCAGUGAACCAGGUAUCUGACACAUUAAUCCAACAAGCACGCUUUUAUGAAAUCUGACCUUGAGGCCUGAAGUCACUUCAAAAAAUAUGAGCAAAGCCUUUAAAGAUCGGAUAUUUGCCAAAUUUUUAUUUCCUACUAGUAAAGUGUCAUCGACAAACUGCAAGUGAGAAAUAAUAACAUUGUAUGUCUGGCCAACCUUGUAACUUAAGAAUAAACCAGCACGAAGUAAAGCAUUCAUCAUAAAAUUAAGGCCUUCCACCACAAUUAAUAAGAGAAACAGAGAAAGUAGGUCACCUUAGCGCAUACCUCGUUCUAGCUGUAACUCGUUUGUUGGCAGUCGCUCACUAGCACAAAUGCAGACAUUGUAGUUACACACUCCAUGAUCCAUUUGCACCAUAAAACAGGGAAAUUCAGUUUGGUCAUAAGAUCAUUAACGUAACGUGAAUCAACAAAAUCAAAAGCCUUCUCAAAAUCGACUUAAAAAGGAUAAACUUGUUUUUCAAGCGGCAAGCACCGUCUACAUUCUUGUUUGCAAUUAAAAUACCGUCUAGAAUUUGUUUGCCAUGAACAAAAGCUGGAUGAGACUUUUAAAUGAUGCUUUUGAUGGCACAACGCAAUCUAUUAGAUAGCACCUUAGCCAAAACUUUAUACAUACACCCGAUCAAAGAGAUCGGUCUGAAGUUUGACAAACGUUAAGGGUUUUCCAUCUUAGGAAUAAGAGCGAUAAAAGUACUAUUUAUUCCUUUAGAUAACUUCUCAUUCCAAUGAAAUUUAGAGAUGAAGCACAUAAUAUCAUCUUUAAGCUCAACCCAAAAAUCCUUAAUGAAGCCAAAAUUAAUUUCAUCAGCCCCCAGACUCUUAACUAUCGCAGUCCCACAAUGCCUGCUUCAGCUCUUCAAUGCAAAAUGGUUUUGUUAAAAGUCCACCUUGGUCCAGAUUGAGAGUUUUGUAAGUAAGAUUUUCCACAAUAGGCCUGUCCAAGUUUGUAUCGUGAAAGUGAUUAUCAAAAUGAUUAAAGAUUGCACUUCUGAUAUCAGUCACUCCCCCGAUUUGCAGCCCAUUAACUGAGAGAGAGACAAUUGAGUUUGAUAUUCUUCUAGAUGACAUAAUACCAUAAAAGAAUUUGGAGUUAGCAUCACCUUCUUUUUGCCAACUAAUUUUAGAUUUUUCAUUGCAUGCUUGUAUUGAGCUUAGACAAAGAGAGCAAAUUUUCCGAAUAUGAGUGAAGUUCCUUAACCUCUUUUGCCUCAAGAAUAAAAUCUUUACCUUUAGAAUCAAGUAUUUAUAUGCUUAUGUGAAUAUCAUUGAUUCUAGCAUCUAAAUUUUGAGUAUGAUUUUAAUGCCAAACUUUGUGACUACCUUUGAUCAGUUUUAAUUUUUCCUUAAGCACAUACUCUCCCCAACCUGACACUUGCAAAGAAUGCCACUUGUCUUGGACAAAAAGAUGAUAAACUGGAAGAUCACCCCAACAUUUUAACAUACGUUGCAGUCCAGAUCUAUACUUCUAACAAAUCAAACGGAUCAGAACGGACUUAUCAAGCAUCCAAACGCCAAGGAGUUUGCUCAAAAGGGAUUUUGCUCAAUUCCCUUGGGUAUCUAAAGGAGAAUCUGCAUGGUAACAGAGGGAGGAAGUACGGUACUUAAAUUCUAGAAACAGUAAAAGCAAAGAUCCUUUUUUCAUUAAUUUUACUUAUUUUGUACAUUGAGUAAAGUGGUGGACAUAUAGUUUGUUAUGAGGACAAAAUACUUUUAGUAGUCAAGAUUAGGAAUACAAUUCAAUUAAAGUGAGCUGUAAGAUUUAUUUUAAGCAAGCAUAUUUACUUAUCUUGUUCAUUAGGUAAAGUUUCAAGAGCAUGAAAAUUUAAAGCACUACACUGAGCCCAUCUAUAUGUAAUACGCAUUUUGAUUUAUGUUUUCGUUAAGUUUGAAAGAUCAAUAUCCCUCAACCAUUACAUUGUGUUGUGAAUCCGAUUAAAACUCACAUCAAUGUAAACAAAGAUGUGUGGAGCAAAAGGGAGUGGUAAUCUAUGAGUAAAGUGUCUCCAAGCAACAACAACAAAAACAGCCCUAGUCUAGUGUAGAGCAACACCACAAGAGAAUACAAAGCAAACAAGAUAAGCAAGAAAGGAAGAACAAACACACCAAAAAGAUUGUUGACCCAGUUCAGCCAAUAUGGCCUAAUCUGGGGGAGAGAGCAGCUCUCCAAUCCACUAUAAUGAAAGUGUUACAAAGGGUUACAAGAAAAAUAGCUUGCAAGCUUACACAAGAACAAGACCUAGAUUCUACCCAUUUGUGUUUCCCCACUCUCACAAUAUGAACCCUAAAAGAGAAGACACUAGAGGAAGCUUUAGAUCCUUCCAAUGGUGAAAUCUCACUACCCAAGGUGUUUACAAUGUUUUUCCCAACCCAAGAGAUCCUCUCUACAAAGACACUCAACCCUAGAGUUCCCUCCUUUGUAAUCCAAGUUUCUCUCUCUAAGCUCUUCCAAGCUCUCCUUCAAAAUAGCACAAGAACACAAUAUAUACUAGUCUCCUUCUGAAGCAAUCGUGUCACGAUUUGCGUCCGUUCCAAGGCAUGACCAGUCCUUAUCAGUGAUACUUAAUGAGCAAGUUUCUGAAUCGUGUCACGAUUUCCCAAGAUCGUGUCACGAUUUGGCGUCCUGCAAACUAGCUCACGGCACCUCGAAAUCGUGUCACGAUGCCAAAAUCGUGUCACGAUUUCUCUGUUCUUCCAGACCACAAAUUUGAAGCCAAUAUCAACAUUUCUCCACCUUGACUUCUAAUUUGGUGGUGAUGUCAGUUUAACCAUCAACCACCAUGCUGCUCUCUCCAAAAGGGAAUUACUCUUCGACAAAUUUGAUCAAGUCCAAGCAAUGCUUGAAUCUUGAUCUAGGCAAUGACUUGGUGAACACAUCCGCCGGAUUCUCCUCCGAUGCCACUUUCUCAACCACAAUCUCUUUUGAUUCAAUCAUGUCUCUAACAAAGUGCAGGCGAAUGUCAAUGUGCUUUGUCCUUUCAUGAUACACUUGAUGAUUUGCCAAGUGAAUGGCACUUUGACUAUCACAAUGUAUCUUCACACAUUCUUGAGUAAUUCCUAACUCACCAAUCAUCCCUUUCAACCAUAUGGCCUCCUUCACACCUUCAACAAGUGCGAUGUACUCCGCUUGAGUUGUAGAUAAUGCCACCACGGAUUGUUGAUUUGCCUUCCAACUAAUAGCCGUGCCAUAAAGAGUAAACACAAAACCCGACAAGGAUUUUCUAGUGUCCACGUUGCCCGCAUAAUCCGCAUCAACAUACCCCUCCAAAGCGUCUUCAUCUUGAGCUGCCCUUGUGUACUUCAAACCGCCCUUCAACGACCCAUUCAAAUACCUCAAAACCCACUUCAAAGCUUGCCAAUGCACAAUUCCCGGAUUUGCCAUAAACCGACUCACAAUGCUAACCGCAUAAGCCAAGUCCGGCCUACUACAAACCAUUCCAUACAUGAUGCUUCCAACCCCACUUGCAUAGGGAGUACCUUCCAUCAAUUGCUUCUCAUCCUCGGAUUGAGGACAUUGUUGUAUGGACAACUUUGUGUGGUGACCCAAGGGAGUGCUCACGGUUUUAGAGUUUGACAUUCUAAACCGCUCCACCACCUUCUUCAAAUAACCAAGUUGAGAUAAGAAAAGUUCGCCUUUGUCACGAUUCCUCUUGAUAUCAAUCCCAAGAACUCUCUUUGCCGGACCAAGAUCUUUCAUCUCAAAUUCACCAUUUAACCUCUCCUUGAGCUUCAUAAUCUCAUCCUUGCUAGAGCUCGCCAUCAAGAUAUCAUCCACAUAUAAAAGAAGAUAGAGAAUGACUUUCUCACUCUUCUUCAACAUGUACACACAAGAAUCAUAUCCGCUUCUCACAAAACCGGUCUUCAAAAGAAACUCAUCAAACCGACGAUACCAUUGCCUAGGGCUUUGCUUCAACCCAUACAAAGAUUUCUUCAAAAGACACACCUUAGACUUGUCCUCCACAAAACCUUCCGGUUGCUCCAUGUAGAUUGUCUCUUCAAGGUCACCAUGUAAGAAAGCGGUCUUCACAUCCAUUUGUUCCAACUCAAGAUUGAAUUGAUUCACGAUAGUCAUAAGUAUCCUUAUGGAACAAUGUUUCACCACCGGUGAAAAGAUCUCGUUGUAGUCGAUCCCCUCCACUUAAAUGAAACCCUUAGCCACAAGUCUUGCUUUGUACCUUGGACCUUCAACACUCGGAAUACCUUCCUUUUUCUUGAAGAUCCACUUGCAUCCAACUACCCUUUGGUGAUUAGGUAGCUUCACAAGUUUUGAAGUUUGGUUCCUUACCAAUGAAUCAAUCUCUUCAUUCACCGCCUUCAACCAAUAAUUGCUCUCUUUGCUCUCAAAUGCCUCCUUGAAGUUUCUAGGCUCCAAGUCAUGCACAUCUUCAGCCGCAUUUAGAGAAAAACACACCAAGUCCGCAUAACCAUAUCUCCUAGGAGCCGUAAUGGUCCUUCUUUCUCUAUCUCUAGCCAAGAGAUAAUCCGGAUUCACUACCGGUUGAGUUUCAUUUGUAUCGAUGUUGAAGCUUCAUCUUCUACAUCUUCUUCUUCUUCAUUUGGAAGCUCCACCUCAAACUGAGUUUUCUCCACCAUUUUCCGGUACUAAAGUCUCUAGGUCUUUACACAUCAUCCCCAUACGGGUCUCAUCGAAGGUAACAUCCCUACUAAUCAAGACUUUUGAUCCUCCAAUAGAUUCCAAUUUCCACAACUUGUACCCCUUCACACCUUCCGGAUAACCAAUGAAGACACAUGAUGUAGUAUUUUUGCAUCAAACAAUUGUAAGUAUUUAUAUCGUCUCCUCAGGGACAAGUGCGAUAUCGCGGACCGUUCAACACCAUCAUUCUAAGUUAAACGAUAAUUUGUUGUUUGUUUUAGUAACUAAAUUGCAAAUGAUAAAAUUGAGAUUAAUAGGGCGUGAAACUUGUUAGGAUUAGAGUUCCUUGAUCAAGCAUCACACAUAACCUAAUGAACAAACAUGGAUUCUAGCUUUUCAUUGAUAUUAUCACGUAUCCCUCGACAACACUAUUCGUGUCCAAACAAUAUUGUGAAAUCAAUUAUAUCAUUCAAUCGUCGAUGUCUCAAACUAUUGAAUGAUUCAAGAGUCGAUCUUAUCGUACAAUCGAUGAUUUCUAAAUCUAUUGAAUGAUAAGAAAGCUUUAGGUUUGGAUACACAAAGUGAUUAUCAAAACAUCGAUUCCAUGUCUAGAACCUAUGUUUCGAUAGAUGGUUAUUCUAAACCUAGAUUCAAAAGUAUUUCUCAAUCACAAUUAAAUCAAAGAUAAAGAUUAAAGUGCAAGAAUAACAUCAAUAUCAAAUCAAAUGCUAGAACCAUAUAUUUAUAGAUCAAAAGAUUACAUGUUAAGCUAAGAUCAAGUACCUCUAAUGCCAACAAAGGAGAUUUAGCUACUCAUUGUCAUGGAAGCCUUGCAAGGAUGAAGUGAAAGAGAAAGAUCCAUUACACACUUGUUAUCUCUCAACAAAGUGAUGUAGAAUUCACUUUCUAUCACUCCCACUCUAUAAAGCACAAGCCCUAUCUCUCUCUCUAAGAAUAUUACAAGUGAAAAGUAUGAAAAACUCAGAGAAAACUAAGUAUAUCAAUGAAAUGGUUGAGUGGGCUAUUUAUAGAAUUCUGACUCUGCAUCAACUCGCCUCGCGAGCUCAUUCAUUCGCCAUGGCGAGUUGAGGUUCCUUCGCCAUUGGGUUUGUGCCACGUCAGCUGUGAGAGGCUAAACCGCCCUAGCUCGCCUCGCGAGAAAUGCACUCGCCAUGGCGAGUAAGCUCGCCUUCCACUAGCCAUUGCGAGUUGGUGGCGUGUAAUCUUUGUUGCAUUCUGGAAUUGCUCGCCUUUGAAGCUCGCCAUGGCGAGUUGGAGGCGAGUGAUCUUCAUUUUUCAGCCUCUUUGUACUUUUCUUCAUUUUCUUCUCUUUGCUUGAUGUCUUGAGUUCAAAUCCUACACAAAUGGGUGAAGUAAGAUAGAUAAAGCGUAAAAGGGCAAUAAUCACUUAUUUCUCGGCUUUUCCCUCAAUAACUUGCAAAACAAGUCACAAAAGUGCCUAAAAUAUAUCAUUUAAAAUACAACUUUCUAGCACUUAUCAACACAUUUCAAAGCUCUAGGCUCAAGCUUGUCUUGCUUGAUAUGCGCAUAUGCCAAAGCUCCGAAAACCUUCAAAGAGGAGUAAUCAGCCGGUUUCCCACUCCAUACCUCCAUAGGUGUCUUGAAGUCUAUACCCGUUGAUGGACAUCUAUUGAUCAAAUAAGCAGCCGUUGUCACAGCUUCACCCCAGAAACUCUUAGGUAACCUAGCUCCUAGAAUCAUGCAUCUCACACGCUCCAAAAGAGUCCUAUUCAUGCGUUCAGCAAGACCAUUUUGUUGCGGUGUUUUCGGUACGGUCCUAUGCCUCUUGAUUCCUUUAAACCUGCAAAACUCAUUAAAUUGCUCUGAAACAAACUCCAAGCCAUUGUCAGAUCUUAAACCUUUUAGUUUAGUUCCCAUUUGAUUUUCUAUGAGAGUGUGCCAUUCCUUAAACUUUUCAAAUGUGUCACUUUUGUUUUUCAAAACAAAGACCCACACUCUCCUAGAAUAAUCAUCAAUGAUAGAAAGAAAAUAGGAACCUCCCACAUAAGUAGGAGUCUUGGAAGGACCCCAAAGAUCCGAAUGCACAUACUCAAAAGGCCUACUAGAAUGAUGCAUGCCACUACCAAACUUCACUAUAUGUUGCUUGCCUAGUAUGCAUUGCUCACAAAAUUCUAGCUUGUCCAAUUUAUCUUUCCCUAGCAAAUCUUGUUUAGCUAGUUCAACUAAAUCUCUUUCACUAACAUGCCCCAACCUCAAAUGCCACAAUUCAGAAUUAUUAUGAGAUGCAACAUUAGCUACCGAUGCAUUACCAAUUACUAUGGAACCAUCUAAAAUGUAUAAACCAUUCAUUUUAGACCCCUCAACCGUAAUCAAUGCACCAUGCGAAAUUUUACAAACCCCAUGCUCAAUUCUAGUGCAAUAACCUAGACUAUCAAACAUGCUUAGGGAAAUUAAAUUUCGCUUAAGUUCGGGAACAAACCUCACAUCCCUUAAAAGGAAUUCACGGCCAUCAAACAUCUUUAGACGAACGUUGCCCAUGCCUUGGACUUUGCAAGCUUUGUUAUUUCCGAGUCGAACAACUCCUCCUUCUUUUAGAGUCAAAGUCUCAAAAUAUUCCUUUCUAGGACACAUGUGGUAAGAGCAUCCCGAGUCCAAAACCCAACUCUUCUCCAGUUCCCAACUUGUAACCACUAGUGCACCCGCACUCUCAUAACCUUCUUCAUUUGAAGCCUCCGCAACUUGGACCGAAGGACUACCAUCGCCGCCCUUAUCCGGACAAUCCUUCUUGAAAUGACCUUGCUUGUGACAAAGAAAGCAUUUAUACUUUGAUUUGUCAAAGCCCUUGGACCUCGACUUCCCCUUGCCUUUUCCUCUAUGCUCAUUCCUCUCUCUUGCAACAUUCAAGCCUUCACUACCUUCAUCAACCUUCAAGUCCUUGAACUUGGUCAAUUCCUUGGUUCUCAAAGCCGCUUGGACCUCCUCCAAAGUAGUAGUGCCCUCCUUACCAUAAAUGAUGGUAUCCUUAAAAUGCUCAAAAGACUUUGGUAAUGAACAAAGUAACAACAAAGCCUUAUCCUCAUCUUCCAUGUUAACUUCAAUGUUGACCAAAUCAUCAAGAAUCUUGCUAAAUUCCGUCAAUAGCUCCGAGAUUGAUUUAGACUCCACCAUCUUGAAUGAAUAAAGUUGUUGUUUCAAGAGUUGCUUAUGAGCUAAAGAUUUCGUCAUGUACAAUAACUCCAACUUAGCCCACAUCGAUGUCGCGGUAGCUUCUCUCGCGACAUCCCUUAAGACCUUAUCUCCGAGACAUAAAACAAUAGCACUCUUUGCCUUGUCUAUCAUCUCCUACUUCUCUUCUUGUGUCAAAGUUGCCGGCAUAGCCGCUUCACCCUUCAAUGCUUCUACACACUUUUUAUGUGUCAAAACCGCUUGCAUCUUAAUCUUCCACAACCCGAAAUCAUUACUUCCGGUGAACUUCUCGAUGUCCCACUUUGAACCCAUGAUACGAACUACCAAUAACGCCUAUGCCCCAUGGUGGGCGCCAAUUGUUGUGAAUCCGGUUAAAACUCACACCAAUGUAAACAAAGAUGUGUGGAGCAAAAGGGAGUGGUAAUCUAUGAGUAAAGUGUCUCCAAGCAACAACAACAAAAACAGCCCUAGUCUAGUGUAGAGCAACACCACAAGAGAAUACAAAACAAACAAGAUAAGCAAGAAAGGAAGAACAAACACACCAAAAAGAUUGUUGACCCAGUUCAGCCAAUAUGGCCUAAUCUAGGGAAGAGAGCAGCUCUCCAAUCCACUAUGAUGAAAGUGUUAAAAAGGGUUACAAGAAAAAUAGCUUGCAAGCUUACACAAGAACAAGACCUAGAUUCUACCCAUUUGUGUUUCCCCACUCUCACAAUAUGAACCCUAAAAGAGAAGACACUAGAGGAAGAUUUAGAUCCUUCCAAUGGUGAAAUCUCACUACCCAAGGUGUUUACAAUGUUUUUCCCAACCCAAGAGAUCCUCUCUACAAAGACACUCAACCCUAGAGUUUCCUCCUUUGUAAUCUAAGUUUCUCUCUCUAAGCUCUUCCAAGCUCUUCCCCAAAAUCUGCACAAGAACACUUAAAUACUAGCCUUCCUCUGAUAAAAUCGUGUCACGAUUUCCAGAUCGUGGCACGAUUUGAACGUACGUCCCAAGGUAUGACCAGUUCUUAUCAAGGAUACUUAACGAGCAAGUUUGAAAAUCGUGUCACGAUUUUCCAAGAUCGUGUCACGAUUUGGCACCCUGCAAACCAGCUCACGGCAUCACGAAAUCGUGUCACGAUGCCAAAUUUGUGUCACGAUUUCUCUGUUCUUCCAAACCACAAAUUUGAAGCCAAAUGUCAACACAUUGAAUGAAUGAUGUCAUCCCAAACUACCCUUGAAGAAAAUAUUGUGGAGCUACAUAGGUACAUAGAUAUAGAUCAAACACCCCAAAAUUCACGACCAAAGAUACAAAGGGUGCCACAGUAUCUCAGAAAUAGAACAAAAUUUGAGGAGCAUUACACCCCCAAGUUGGUGUCAAUAGGUCCUAUCCAUCAUGACAAUCCAAAGCUGAAGAUAGGAGAGAAAUACAAGCUUAUGUGGGCAGCAAAAUACAUCAAAAACACGGGAAGAAUUAAGAAGGAUCUACACAAAAAGAUUGUAGAUAACAUUGAUGAACUGAAGGGUCAUUUUAGCGACGACGUUUUAACUUUGACCGGCAAGUCUCUUAAAGGCUUCCGUAGCCUUGAAGAAAAGUUGUCGUGGAUAUUGUUCGUGGAUAUAUGGAUGUUCUUUGCUGCAUAUCUUAGAGAAAGCCAAGCUUCAUGAACCAGGGCAGAUGAAUAUUAAGGUUGAUAAACUGGUUCUUGUGAUGAUGGAUGUGCUUUUGUUGGAGAAUCAACUCCCUUACAUAGUACUCAAACUAUUAUUGAAAGAUAACAAUGAGAAUGAAUUGAUAAAUACCAUGAAAAAUUUCCUCAAAUGUCAUCAUUGGACCACACCAGAUAAUAAGAGGAACCGGAGGUGGCGAGACAUUCAAAAGAUUAGCAAUAUGGUUGGACAGUAAAGGAAAAGAACAACAUAGUACCGUAUUGAUUACGAAUGAGUUGGAGACAUCAUCAAAGAAGGAGAAGGAAAUGGUUUCAAAAGGAAAAGGAGAAGGAGAACACAGUGUAUCAAUACCAUUACCAAGUGAGUCCCAAUCAGAGACACCCACUCAUCUUUUUGAUCUUCAGCGUAAACUCAUCCUCAAUCCAUCUAAUUCCAAGGUACGAAAGAAAUUAGAGACAAAAGUAAAAUUUGUUACUAAAUUUUUGUCUUAUUAAAACUUAACGACAAAAUUAGAAACAGAUUUUGCCUUUUUCCGUUUCUAAAUUUGCUACCAUUAUUAUAAUUACAGAGUGGAGGUGCAAAAUGUAAUAUAUAUUAUUGUAAGAGGAAAUCAAUUUUUAAAUUUUAUUGUUCUGAUCCAAUCCAUUUUCGAUUAAAACAUAGAUUAGAGAAUAUGAAGCUUCCAAAGAGAAAUGGUCUAAGAGUCCAAAUGAAAGCAUCUCGAUUAUGACAUACAGGAGCAUACAAGAUCUAAGAAAAGUAGGAAUAAGACUUAAGUCAAGCAUGACUCGAAGUCCAAGAGACUUGGAUUUCUCUGAAGGAUGGUUGAUUGCAAAGCUAACUCUACCUGAGAUCGUUGUGGACGACUCAUCAGCUACUACUUAUCUCAACCUGAUAGCAUAUGAGAUGUGUCCAGAUUUUAAGAACAACUACAGAAUUUGUUCUUUUGCAGCUUUCAUGGACUCACUCAUCGACCAUCCUGAAGUUGUGAAGCUAUUGAGAUCAAAAGAGAUUUUGCUCAAUUCCCUUGGGAGCGAUGAGGAAAUUGCCGAUCUUUUCAAAAUCAUAGGUACCGACUUGAUACCUAAUACAGAAACAUAUUUCAGAGUUAGAGCCAAAAUAGAUUAUCAUUACCGUAAUAAAUGCAAGACUUGGAUAGUGCUGGGUUAUUAUACAUACUUCAGCAUUGCUGCAUUUAUCGCCCUUGCUCUUACUUUCAUUCAGACAGUGUUUGCAAUUCACCCGGCUAGCAAUAACGGUUGUUAGUUAUGACAAAGUUGUUUUCGUUAUGGCACUUCUAUAUGGAUUGUGUUGAAUUUUUUUAAUAAAUUUUUGGGUGAAGUUGGCGUGUACCUUCUUUAGUCUUGACUAUGUGUAUUUAUAAAAUGAAGAGUGUCUUUUUGAUUGUGCUGUGUAUAAGAAUUGAAACAUGAAUUUUCAUAUUUCAAGUUAAUUUAUUCAAAUUAUUAUUCUCAUAAACGAUCUACGUGUUUCUAUACUGUUGAGAUUUUGUUGAUUUUGUUUAGAUGAGUUAUUUAAUUUUGUGUUCAUUGACAUUUCAAUAAGUGAAUAGAUCGAAUGAGCUAAUAAAACAAGUAUAUUAAGAGUAUUAGUAGACAUGGGAACAAACAAAGUAUUGGUUACGAAACAACCUGACAACAAAAUUCAACUUAAAUCUAUUCACUAGUUAUGAAAAUGACAAACUUGAUGAAUCAUUUCUUCAUCAACUUCAGCACAAGCUUCUUCACUUAGUUUUUUCUGUCUUUUCAUCGGUCACAGAAGAAAAAUGAUUCUAUAAUUCUAGACUAACAUAUAUACCUCUCAUGGAAAAUUGUACAAAUAAUUCAUGAAUUCAAGAAUUGAUUUAUUUAUCAAAAUUAUUUAAAUUCAUGUAGAUAGUAAAACCGAUGGAAAAGGUUUCUCUUAGGAAAAGAUGAACCUGAAUCUAUUAGGUAAUUAACUAGAGUUGAUAUAGAUGUGUUAUAGUUCUUUUUCAUGAUGUUUUGUACGUUAGUCUACUAAGUGUUAUGAUAUGAUCGAAUAAGAGGAAAGCUAAAUAUUAUGAUGGAAUUUUCAACCAAUGGCAAGAAGGUGGUGGUGGUGGGUAUGUUGCUGUUGCUAUAGCAAAAACUUCGUAGGAAUUUCGAUUUCAAAAGCUGCAUCAUUCAAUUGAAACAUAAAAAAUAUUAAGAUAUGCGUCUAUAGAUUAAAUUUAAUAAAAAAAUCAUGAUUAAAGUAUAUAAGUUCUAGACUGCGUUGAGAGAAGGCGGUAGCUCUGUUAGGGUUUCUCCUUCGGGUGUAAUUUGCAGUUUUCUUGUGUGCAUCAUUCAUCUUUUUAGGUGGUAUCCAUAAACUAUCUUAAAUCUACUAAUAAAUUGCUCAUUUUCAUUGGUUAAUAAGUAAAUUACCCAUCAUUUUUUCAAAGGUAAUCUAAAAAAAACCUCAAUAAAGUGCUCUUUGUUGAAAAGGGAAUUCCAAUAGAAAGUCAAAAUUGGAAAUCACUAAUUCUUUGGUCAAAAUUAGAUGUGUGUGCUGGAAUUUCAAUUCUGGUAAUCUAGUGCUUUAAGAUAAAAAAAUGAAAUAUACUAUUGCUUUCAAUUUGCGGUUACGUGUUUACUUUACUACUCUACGAAUAGUUUCAAUUGAUUAUGAAAAUUGCAACACAUAUGCAAAGGCUUAGAAAUACGAGUAAAUUAUAUAAAUAUCCUUUACUAGUUAACUGUCGAUGGUUGCAGAACCUCUCUCAUCCAUUAUUCAUCUCAUCUUACAAAUUUUUUUUUUAAAUCUCUUUAAAAAAUCCAACCAAAUUAAUUCAACAAAAUCACAAGUAAGUAAUUAUAAUGCUAUUAACUUACAUUUUAGUUGUUAUAAAUGUUUUUAUUUUUUUGUUUUUGAGUAGAUUAACAUGUUAUAAUUCAUUUUUAGAGUAGAUGUUAUUUGAUUAAUGUUGUUAUAAUGUUUGCAAGAUGUUUAUGUUAUAAUUUAGAAUUUUAGGGUUUUUUUAUUUUAUUUUGGUGUUUUAUAUUUAUUUUUUUAUUUUAGUUUUUUAGUAUAUUUACAUGUAAGAGUAUAUGAUUUAUUUUAAGAGUAGAUAUUAGUUGAAUAAUUUUCCAAUACUUUUUGCAUUUUUAUGUUUUUUUUUAGAGUAUCGGUUUUUUUUUUUUCUUAUGAUUUUCAAGGUUUAUGUAUAAUUUGCACAUCAAGUGUUUGAUGAAAUGUUUGAAUGAGUUUUUCAUUGAUUGUUUUUUAUUUCUUAUUGUGUAGAUAUGAAACAAUGGCCGGGUGGAUCGACGUUCAUGCACAAUUCAACGGCGGAGAACCUUAGAGGUUGAAGGUUCGGUGCCUUGGUAUAACGUUAAGAGGUCUCAAGGAUGAACUGACUGAAUUCAACCAAGGAGUCAACCACCUGAGACACAAGGAGGGUGGAACACGUUCAUUAUAAACGUCCAACGCUCGACGAGGGGAGAGUAUCAUUCAGUUGGGAGGAAUUAACGAACGACGAAAAUGUGACGAGCAUGUUAUGGGAUCACAACAUGUUCCAGUGGAUCGAUAUGUGGGUAACGUUGCUGAGAUCAACUGAAGAUAUUAUCAACAGUCUGAUUCCGCCAUAAGAUCAUCAUUAGUUACCGAAUGAAUGAACCUACCAGCUACAACAAUUGUCUUCCUUUGAAUGGGUAAUUCAAACUUGCCAAACAGCAGGACUCCAAUAUUCAACCGACAUUCCCAUUGUUUCUUUCAAGAGAUUCAAUUUUUGUUAGGCCAGUUUAAAUGAAGGUAUUGAACUGUCAAAGAAUGUACCUCAUUCUUUUGACACUUGAAUACCAUAAUUUAAUCCCAACCUAACAAGAAUUUAAUCUUUUGAAUGGAACAAUGAGAAUGUCGGUCGAAUAUUUGAGUCCUGCUGCUUGGCAAGUUUGAAUUUAUCCCAUUCAGAGGUAACACAAUUGUUGUAGUUGGAAGGUACAAACGUUCGGUAUAAACGUCUAAGAGAAUACACCUUCCUACAAUAAUUGUCUUCCUUUGAAUGAGGUAAUUCAAAUUUGUAAAACGGUAGGACUUCAGCAUUCGAUCGACAUUUUAAAUGAUGGUAUUCGGUUUGUUUGAGGAAUCAGGAUAAUCGCUUGUGUCGACUCUCUCUCUUUAAACCCUAAACCCUAGGUUGAUAGGUAAAAAGAUUGGGAUAUAUGUUCUUGAAGGAAGAUAUACACCAACUUAUUUGAGUUGACGUAUAUCUUCCAAAACCUGUAUUCUCGCAAGGUCAAUUGUAUGUUGCAAUAUCAAAAGUUAUAUCAAGGAAUGGUCUGAAAAUUUUAGUACUUCGAAUGUGGUGUAUAAAGAAGUUUUCUGAAAUUUGUAAACAUGAGAAACUUCAAAUAUAAUUGUAUUUAUUAUUAUAACAUUAAAAUUAUAAGUUGGGUAAGUACUAUCUAAUUUUGCUUCUGUCUAUUGCAUUUACAAUGUAUAUGACCCAUGUUGUAUCACGGGUAGACCAUCUAGUUAGGUUUUUAAUCCCAAGGAGUUAAAAGCCAUGCAAGAAGUACCAAAAAAAAAAAAAAAGAAGCAAGAAAUAGAAGGAGAAGCUGCAUGAAACACAUAGUUAAAUUCUAGAACAGUAAAAGCAUUGAAGCAAAGAUCCUUUUUCCAUGAAUUUUACAUUUCUUGUCCAUUGAGUAAAGUGGUAGACAUUAUAUAGUUUGUCCUGAGAGAGGACAUGUAUAAAAAUCGAUUAAAGUGGAAGUGUAAUAUUUUAAGCAAGCAUAUUUACUUAUCUUGUUAAUUAGGUAAAGGUUUGUGAGCAUGGAAAUCUAGAGCACUACACUGAGCCAAUAUUAUAUAAAAGGCGUUUUGAUUUAUAUUCAUUAACCAUUAUUAUAUUGAUUGAAUGAUGGCAUCCCAAACUAUUAAAGAAAAAUUUGUGGAACUACAAAAAUCAAAGCAAACACCCCAAAAUUCACGACCAAAGAUACAAAGGGUGCCACAGUAUCUCAGAAAUAGAAACAAUUUUGAGAAACAUUACACCCCCAAGUUUGUUUCAAUAGGUCCUAUCCAUCAUGACAAUACAAAUAUGAAACCAGGAGAGGAGUAUAAGCUUAUGUGGGCAGCAAAAUACAUAGAAAACAACGGCUUUAUUCUAGAGGAUCGACACAAAAAGAUUGCCGAUAAAAUUAACGAACUAAAGGGUCAUUUUAGCGACGAUGUUUUAACUUUAACUGGCAAGUCUCUUGAAGGCUUUGAUAGCCUUGAAGAAAAGUUGUCGUGGAUGUUGUUCGUGGAUGGAUGUUCGUUGCUGCAUAUCUUGGAGAAAGCCAACGUUGAUGAAGCAGGGCACAUGAAUAUUAAGGUUGAUCAACUGAUGAUGGAUGUGCUUUUGUUGGAAAAUCAACUUCCUUAUCAAGUACUCAAGCUUUUGUGGAAAGACGACAACGAGAGUGAGCAUGAGGAAAUUCCUCAGCCGUUGUUAUUGGGACAAACCAGAUGGGUCACAGUCAGAGAAGGAGAAGGAAGGAGAAGGAGAACAUAGUGUAUCAAUACCAGACGAGUUGCAAUCAGAGAUGGAGGAGGAAGGAGAAGGAGAACAUAGUGUAUCAAUACCAGACGAGUUGCAAUCAGAGAUGGAGGAGGAAGGAGAAGGAGAACAUAGUGUAUCGAUACCUUAACCAAAUGAGUCACAGUCAAAGACACCCACUCAUCUUCUUGAUCUUCUGCAUAAAAUCAUCCUAACUACAUCUAAUUCCAAGGUACAAUAUAGAAAUAACAGUAACAAGUACUAGAAGAAUUGAAAUAACAAUCAAAAUUACAGACAAAACUAUUUGGUUACUAAAUUUUUGUCUUUGAAACUUAGACAAAAUUAGAGAGUUUGCCUUUUUCCGUUUCUAAUUUUUGUCACCAUUUCAACUCUUUGUAUUAGUUUUGAGUCUAUCUAGCAUUUUGAAUUUAUUUUGUCAUCAUAUAAGUACGAUGGAUCAUUCUAUUUCUGAUUAAAACAUAAGACUAAAAGCAAUGAAGCUAACAACAAGAAAUGGAGUCAUACGAAGAAUUUAGAGGCCAACAUGAUGACAUAUAGGAACAUACAAGAUCUAAAAGCAGCAGGAGUAAGAUUUAAGUCAAGCUUCACACGUAGGCCAAAAGACAUUAAUUUCUACGAAGGAUGGCUUACCGCAAAACUAAUUCUUCCUGAGAUCGUUGUGGACGACACUUCAGCCACUACUUUCCUCAACUUGAUAGCAUAUGAGAUGUGUCCUGAUUUUGAGAACGACUAUGGAAUUUGUUCUUUUGCAGCUUUCAUUGACUCACUUAUUGAAGAUCCUGAAGAUGUGAAGGUACUAAGAUCAAAAGGGAUUUUGCUCAAUUCCCUUGGGAGUGAUGAGGAACUCGUCAAUUUUUUCAAAAUCAUAAGUACUGACGUGGUUCCUAACAGAGAAAUAUAUUAUGAAGUUAGACGCAAAAUAAAUGAGCAUUACAGCAACAGCUACAAGACUUGGAUAGCGAUGAGUUUUCACACUUACUUCAGCAUUGCUGCGGUUAUCGCCCUUGCUCUUACUUUCAUUCAGACAUGGUUUACGGUUUACCCGCCUAACAAAUAAAGGUGCUCCGUUAUGAUAAUAUUGUUUUUGCUACGGUACUCUUCACUUCACUGGAUUGUGUUCAGUUUUUCAAAUAAAUUUUUUGGUUAAGUUGGUGUGUACCUUCUUGAAAUGAUUUAUGUGAUUCUAUAUUGUUUUCGCUAUGAGUAUUUUAAAAAUGAAUAGUGCCUUAUUCAAAUUAAUAAUCUCAUUAAUGAUUUAUGUGAUUCUAUAUUGUUGUGAUUAUGUUAAUUUUGUUUAGAUCAAUUAUUUAAUAUUGUGUUCAUCGACGUUACAAUAAUUAUAUCGCAGGUUAUUCAUGGGGCAAAACACAAAGUAUUCGUUACAAAACACAAUAUAUACUCCCUCCGUUCUAAUUUAUAAGCAAAAAACACUAAUUCACACUUAUUAAGAAAACUAAUACUUAGUGACUUGAGAUAUCAUUUUUUGUGUUCUCCUUGGAAUAAGUUUCAUGGAAAGAUGUAAAAAUAAUUCUCAUUGGUUAAAAAUUAUGGAGAAAAUGAAAAGGAGAACAAAUUGAAUGUAAUUUGCAUUUAAUUUUACAUUGGAAAAGGUGAUUUGUUUGAAAAAACAUAAUAAUAGCAUAAAAGUUGGUCCUUUUUGUUUAUAUUUUGAGACAAAGAUUAUGAGAUUUUUUUGCUUAUAUUUUAGGACGGAGGGAGUAUUUAUGAUAAUGUCAGACAUGAUGAAUCAUUUCUUCAACUUCAGCACAAGCUUCGAUUAGUUUUUUUUCUUUUCAUCGGCCAUAGAAGAAAAAUGAUUAUAUAUUCUAGACUCAUAUAUACUUCUCAUGCAAAAUAUUGUAGAAAAAUUCAGUUAGCUUGUGGCGCAAGUCAGUGUAGUGUGUUCCUUCUCCUUAUCUUUGAUCAUUUGUGUUUCCAUAUCUUUUGUGUUAUUCUUCAAUAGUACAAAAAAGGUAGCAAUAUAUAGAUCACAAAUGAUCCAAUAUCUCUACCAAAAAUUCAUCUGAACACAUAAUAAAGAAAGAUGUGGUCAUGACAACAUUGGUAUCCUCAGGUAUACACAAAGACAUUAACUAAAACUUCAUUAACUUUGUACUCAAAAAAAAAAAAACUUGAUUAGCUAACACUUCAUUCCCAUAUCUUCACCACAAAAUCAUUGUUAGACCAUCCCCAAUGGUUUUUACCAUUCAACACCACUUUUUCAAUUUCCAACACUCCACAUCAUUUUCUCUCUCUUAUUCAACACUCAUUCAACAUUUACCCUCUCCAAUGGUUUUUCAUUCAACACUCUACCCCACCAUUUUUUAUUUUUUAUUCUUAUUUAAUUUUUGUUUUUAUAAUUACAUAAAAUUAUCGAUUAUAAUUAAAUUAAAAUAAUACAAUUAACUAUUUAUUUUUUAGUAUUUUUGGAAGAAAAAANNNNNNNNNNNNNNNNNNNNNNNNNNNNNNNNNNNNNNNNNNNNNNNNNNNNNNNNNNNNNNNNNNNNNNNNNNNNNNNNNNNNNNNNNNNNNNNNNNNNNNNNNNNNNNNNNNNNNNNNNNNNNNNNNNNNNNNNNNNNNNNNNNNNNNNNNNNNNNNNNNNNNNNNNNNNNNNNNNNNNNNNNNNNNNNNNNNNNNNNNNNNNNNNNNNNNNNNNNNNNNNNNNNNNNNNNNNNNNNNNNNNNNNNNNNNNNNNNNNNNNNNNNNNNNNNNNNNNNNNNNNNNNNNNNNNNNNNNNNNNNNNNNNNNNNNNNNNNNNNNNNNNNNNNNNNNNNNNNNNNNNNNNNNNNNNNNNNNNNNNNNNNNNNNNNNNNNNNNNNNNNNNNNNNNNNNNNNNNNNNNNNNNNNNNNNNNNNNNNNNNNNNNNNNNNNNNNNNNNNNNNNNNNNNNNNNNNNNNNNNNNNNNNNNNNNNNNNNNNNNNNNNNNNNNNNNNNNNNNNNNNNNNNNNNNNNNNNNNNNNNNNNNNNNNNNNNNNNNNNNNNNNNNNNNNNNNNNNNNNNNNNNNNNNNNNNNNNNNNNNNNNNNNNNNNNNNNNNNNNNNNNNNNNNNNNNNNNNNNNNNNNNNNNNNNNNNNNNNNNNNNNNNNNNNNNNNNNNNNNNNNNNNNNNNNNNNNNNNNNNNNNNNNNNNNNNNNNNNNNNNNNNNNNNNNNNNNNNNNNNNNNNNNNNNNNNNNNNNNNNNNNNNNNNNNNNNNNNNNNNNNNNNNNNNNNNNNNNNNNNNNNNNNNNNNNNNNNNNNNNNNNNNNNNNNNNNNNNNNNNNNNNNNNNNNNNNNNNNNNNNNNNNNNNNNNNNNNNNNNNNNNNNNNNNNNNNNNNNNNNNNNNNNNNNNNNNNNNNNNNNNNNNNNNNNNNNNNNNNNNNNNNNNNNNNNNNNNNNNNNNNNNNNNNNNNNNNNNNNNNNNNNNNNNNNNNNNNNNNNNNNNNNNNNNNNNNNNNNNNNNNNNNNNNNNNNNNNNNNNNNNNNNNNNNNNNNNNNNNNNNNNNNNNNNNNNNNNNNNNNNNNNNNNNNNNNNNNNNNNNNNNNNNNNNNNNNNNNNNNNNNNNNNNNNNNNNNNNNNNNNNNNNNNNNNNNNNNNNNNNNNNNNNNNNNNNNNNNNNNNNNNNNNNNNNNNNNNNNNNNNNNNNNNNNNNNNNNNNNNNNNNNNNNNNNNNNNNNNNNNNNNNNNNNNNNNNNNNNNNNNNNNNNNNNNNNNNNNNNNNNNNNNNNNNNNNNNNNNNNNNNNNNNNNNNNNNNNNNNNNNNNNNNNNNNNNNNNNNNNNNNNNNNNNNNNNNNNNNNNNNNNNNNNNNNNNNNNNNNNNNNNNNNNNNNNNNNNNNNNNNNNNNNNNNNNNNNNNNNNNNNNNNNNNNNNNNNNNNNNNNNNNNNNNNNNNNNNNNNNNNNNNNNNNNNNNNNCUAUUUUUAGGUACAUAAUAUAACAUUAACAUAUAAUUUUUACAAAAGAAUGAAGUAACAUUUUGUAAAAAAAAAAAAAAAAAUGAAGUAACAUACCAAUAAUAUAACAUUGACAUAUAAUUUUAACAAAAGAAUGAAGUAACACACGAUUGAUAAAAAUUAAUAUUUUUAAGGUGAAUAAGUGUGGUGUCUGAGGUUCGAAUUCCAACAUCUGCAUAUAUUUGGGACCACAUAUUUUAUUCUCUUUGAUAUGCAUUGAGAUUUGUUUUUGUCUACUUCAUCUACAGUGUAUAUGACCCGUGUGGUAGCACGGGUGGAAAGUCUAGUAUAUUAAAAUGUAGCCCGUGGAAAAACGUUAAUUAGGAGUACUCAAGCUAUUGUGGAAAGAUGACAACAAGAGUGAAUUGAUAAAAAGCAUGAGGAGUUUUCGCAACCAUCUACACAUCAUACCAGAUGUGUCACAGUCAGCGAAGGAGAAGAAAGGAGAUGGAGAACAUAGUGCAUCAAUAGCAGAUGAGUCACAAUCAGAGACAAUACCCACUCAUCUUCUUGAUCUUCAACGGAAACUCAUCCUCACUACAUCUUAUUCCAAGGUACAAUAGAAUUAACAAUAAAAAGUACUAAAAUAAAUAGAAAUAAAGAAAGAAAUUAGAGACAAAAAUAUUUGGUUACAAAUUUAAGGACAAAAUUAGAAACGGAGUUUGCCUUUUUCUGUUUCUAAAUAUUAUUUCCUUUGCAAAGGAAGUAUAAUUUUGAAUUUUUUUUAGGGUUAAAUAAGUAAAUGGUCCUCCUAAAUAUAUCAACAUUUAACUUUAGCUCCCUUAAAAUAUUCUUUAGACUUUUGGUUCUUCAAAAAAUUUUCAUUUAUGAAAUUAGUCUCUGCUCUACAUUGAGUAUUACAUUAGAACGGGCACUAAUUUCAUAUAGAUUAAAAAUUUUAGAGGGAUCAAAAGCGUAAGGAAUAUUUUAAGGGGGCUAAUAUCAAAUGUUAGUAUAUUUAGGGAGACUAUUUACUUAUUUAACUCCUUCUAUUAUCAUAAGUAAAUGAUCCAAUCCAUUUUUUAUUAAAACAUAGACUAAAAUCGUUGAAGCUACCGAAAUGAUGAAAUGGAGUCUUAAUAUUCUUAAAAGAAUGAAGAUAUGGAGUGGGAAGCUUAAUGAUAAAAUAAAGAAAUGUAUUGGGAAGAAUUCAAAGACAAAUAUCCAAAUGUUGACAUACAGGAACAUACAAGAUCUAAAAGCAGUAGGAAUAAGACUUAAGUCAAGCAUGACACAAAGGCUAAGAGACAUAGAUUUCUGCGGAGGAUGGUUCUCUGCAGAACUGACUCUUCCUAUGAUCAUUGUGUCCAACAGUUCAGCCCAUACGUUCCGCAACCUGAUAGCAUAUGAGAUGUGUCCAGAUUUUGAGAACGAUUAUGGAAUUUGUUCUUUUGUAACUUUCAUGGACUCGCUCAUCGACCAUCCUGAAGACGUGAAGGAAUUGAGAUCAAAAGGGAUUUUGGCCAAAUGCCUUGGCAGUGAUGAGGAUGUUGCCAAUCUUUUCAAUAUCAUAUGUACUGACUUGGUAGCUGACCCGGAAAUAUACUUUGAAGUUAGAUUGAAAAUACAUGAUCAUUACUGUAAUAAAUACAAUACUUGGAUAGCGCAGGGUUUUCAUACUUACUUCAGCAGUCCUUGGGCCAUUAUUGCAUUCACUGCUGCGGUUAUCGCCCUUGUUCUUACUUUCAUUCAGACAUGGUUUACAAUUCAACCGGCUAGCAAAUAAAUGUGAUUCGUUAUGACAAUGUUGUUUUCGUUAUGGAACACAUCACUUCUCUGUGGAUUUUUAAUAGGUUGAGUUUUUUUAUUGAAUAAAUUUUAGGUUAUGUUUUCGUCUACGUCUUGACUAUGAGUACGUAUUUCAAAAAUAAAGAUUGCCAUUUUCUUUGUGUUGUGUGUUUGAAUUGUAACAUGAAUAAAUUAAUAUUCUCAUUGAUGAUCUACGUGUUACUAUAUAUUGGUGCCAUUAUGUUGAUUUUGAUUAGAUGAGUUUUUAAUUUUGUAUUCAUAGACAUCGAAAUAAGUGAAUAGACCAAAUGAGUUAAUAAGACAAGUAUAUAUUAUAGGAAAAUUUGUCAUCUUAGUCCCUGAAUUUGUAAGGAUUUGUCAGAAUAAUCUUUGAAUGCAAAGAAAUUGCAAAACAAUACUUGAAUGUAAACUCUGUUAGUCAAUUUAGUCUCUGGCGUUAAAUAAGUAUGUUAACGAUGACAUGGCCUCUGAUGUGGCAAGAUGGCAACUGAUAGAAAAUUAACAAGUGUACUUAUUUAAAUCGAGUGAUAAAAUAAUUCGUUUCGACAAGGACCAUAUUAAUCUCUACAUAGCGAGAACAUUAACAUCAAGAUAUAUCUAAAUGGGGGUUGCCUUAGGCAAAUUGUUUGAGUGCAAUUGUAAUUAAACGAAAAACUGGAAUUCAAGUUGGUUUAGAAAUAAUAUGGAGAAAUGACUAGGUCAUUCGAUUCAUUUGUUCAUCACUCGUUAGCAAUCUGUUUCUUAAGUUUACGAACGCUGUAAAUUUUACGACAAAUUAACAAAAUAGCUUAGGUCAAUCCCGUGAUCGAAAGCUCUCUUUUUUGGCUAUAAGUCCCUAAUCACUUGGUGAACCUAUAAUAGUAAAAGGUUUGAAGUCCGUUAAUUUAAGUAUCACAACCUAACAACUCUCUAUCCCUAGAUUGUAUGUUAGAUUUGAACAAUAUAAAUAUGUCAGAGUUACACGUUAGUGUCAAUAGUCAUAUACACUCUAGAAUCAGUUAUGUUGAGUCAGAAUCAUAAAAGCAUUAAGAAUAAUUUAUACUGAAUAAACUAGAAUGACAAUCUUAAAAAUUAAGAGUUACAAGUUACAUUGUACUAAGCUAGAACAGAAUCAUCUCUUGACCUAAUCACAAAGGAUUUAGCUACUCGUGGCUAAAGCACGAAUAACUAAUGUAAAGGAAAUAUUCAUUACAUGAAUUUGACAACCGGCUAUGAGUUUUGAUGGCCUCCCACCUUCUUCUCAGAUCUCCAGCUCCAAAAAACAGUUUCUGUAACACCCCGUUUUCCCAACAUAUAAAUAAUAUAAAAUAAAUCAGAGUUCAUCGCAAAUAGGAUGUCACAUUUCGUUCUUCAAAAUAUCUUUUAACACAAAUAGAGUUAAAUUCACUAUUUAUUUAAACAACUGCUUUCAAUAAUUCAAAAUAAUGUCGUAGCGAAAAUAUUUAAUCUUUAAGCAUUACUUGGCACUAAGGCCUCAACAUCAACAACAUAAAUAAAAUCCACCUAAAAGUGGUCCAACAUCAAAUUAUAAGAAGAUAUGUAACAAUGGAAAAUAAAACACAUAAGAAUCCUCAUGCCGUUACGUAUCAGAGCAUGACUUCUAUGACGAAACGAGAAUUCAACUCACAUCAGCUGUUACUUCUGAAUAUCUGCAUGUUACCCACGUAGAGGUGACAUUCAAACAGAAGGGGUGAGAUUUCACAUUUGAUAAUAAUAAGCAAUAAUUCAUGUAAAAGAAUUUAACAACACAAAACAGCAGCAAUUCAUCAUUAACAAUGCUUCACAUAAGUCGAACUACAAAUCAUCAAUUAACUUCACUCAACAGUACAACGACACGACUUAACAAAUGCAAUGCAAUGCAAUUAUGCAUGUGGUACCAACAGAGCUACAACUCCCUUCGCUAAUGCCGUGAUUCGGCUUUGACAGGCUACAACCUCCUUUGCUUAAUAAAUCACCAAUACAGGCCAUCGUGGUGCCAAUCCAGGCCAUCAUAAUUAAAAUGAAAUGAUUAUGUAAUGACACAAUUAAAAUGCAACAACAGCAACAUCUACUUCGCAUCACAAUUUCACUAUUAAUCAAUAUUAUUCUUCGCAAAUAAACAAUAAUUUCAUUCAAACAAUUAUAAUUACGAAACUCAAGCAUGCAUACCUUAAUUGAACCCCUUAAUACUCAAGUUUGAAGUUUAGAAACCAAACCAUAGGUAUUGGAAUGACUUGGAAAUAAUUAUGCUAAGAUUCUUUAAAAUUUCCCCAAGACCUACUUGAAGUGUUUUCAUCAUAACUCAAAAUCCACAAAACAUUUUCAUGUCAAACCAACGCCAUUGGAAAGAUAACAUAAUUAUUUGAAACCUUCAUGUUUACACCAAAGGCCAAUUCAAAUCAGAAUAAGGGUGAAAAAGCACGAAAAAUCAAAAACCGAAGUCCUGACAGCACGCAAACGAUGCCACAACAAAACAGUCACCCAUGAGGGCUGUCUUUCUGCGCCUAGGCGCUGGCAAGCUGCACCCAGGCGUGGGCAGGCAGUAGCCAGUGACCUGCGGUGCAGCUCUGUGCAGUCCUGGUUUUUUCCCGGUUUUACCAUUUCGCACGUAAAAACUCAACAGUUAACCCGAUUCCAAUUCUGUUUUCGCCUACGCAUUCUAUUCAAUAAAUCCUAUCAUAUUUUACUGAUAAAUCAUAUUUUCAAAUCUUCAAAACAGCUUAUCCCAGAAUCACUUAUUUCCCAAAAACACUUAAAAUCACUUUUAUUCAAAAUAUCAAUUUUUGACCCCAUUCGAUCCCAAUUUGAUAGGAAACAUUACCUAGGGUUACUCUACAACCUAAACAUCAACUUUCACAUUAAUUCAUUGGAUUACUUACACUUUCAAGAAUCAAAUUGCAAUUCAAAACCCUAACUUCUUAAACAUCACAAUUAUCAACAACAUCAAAGUUAGCCCCUUUUUCAGAAUUAUAUAACUCAUAUUAAAGAAGGUUAGUCCCACCCUUACCUUAGACUAGAUGAACUUUGAAUUCUUUAAGCUUUCCCUUGCCCUCUCACAAUGCUCUUCUCUUCUCUGACUUCUCACUUUCACGUUUCCACCAAAAACUGUUUUACAUGUCUGACUCUUCUUUUCCUAACCUCUCCUUAUUCCUAACCUAACACAUUCCCUCUUAUUCCAAUUUUGCCCUUACUGCCUCAUUAUUCUAUUUUAAUUUUAUUCCUUCACUAAUAAUACUAUAAUAAGCUACUAACAUUCACUAACACAUAACACAAAACAUCGCGCAUCACCAUUAUUCACAUAAAUUAUUCAAAAUGACACUAAACUCGAUAAAAUAACUAAAUAAUAAAUUAGGGUGUUACAACUCUCCCCAACUUAGAAUAUUUUCGUCCUCGAAAAUGUACCUCAUUCAAAUAACUUUGGAUACGACUCCAGCAUCUUGCUCUCCAACUCCCACGUCAAACUUUCACCAGCCACUUCUCCCCAAACAACUUUCACAAGAGGCAUCUCCUUGCCUCUCAGCUUCUUCACUUCACGACCUUCAAUCCUCCCUAGUAAGGUCUCGAUCGUAAGAUUGUCUCUCACUUGCACAUCAUCUCUUGGAAUCACAUGAGAUGGAUAUGAAACAUACUUUUGUAGUUGUGACACAUGAAACACAUCAUGUAAGUUCGAAAGAUGCGGUGGUAAACCCACGUUAUACGCAACCGCCCCAACUCUUUGCGAAAUCUGAUACGGGCCAAUAAACCUCGGAGUUAGUUUCUUUGAUUUUAGUGCCCGUCCAACACCGGUAAGAGGGGUGACUCUCAAAAACACAUGGUCUCCUUGAAACUCAAGAUCCUUCCUACGCUUAUCAUGAUAACUCUUUUGUCUACUCUGUGACGCUUUCAUCUUUUCUCUAAUCAACUUAACAUUUUCAUUAGUCUGUUGAACAAUGUCUGGUCCCAGUACCACACUCUCACCGGACUCAUCACAACACAACGGAGUUCUGCAUCUCCGACCAUACAACGCUUCGAACGGUGCCAUUCCAAUGCUAGAAUGGUAACUAUUAUUGUAAGUGAACUCGAUUAAUGGAAGAUGACUAUCCCAAGAUCCCCCUUGCUCAAGUACACAAACUCUCAACAAGUCCUCCAACGACUGAAUUGUCCUCUCCGUCUAUCCAUCUGUCUGCGGAUGAUACGCCUAACUCAAACUCAACUUAGAACCCAACGCCUCCUACAAACUCUUCCAAAAUCUAGAAGUAAAUCUUGGAUCCCUAUCUAAUACAAUACUCGAUGGAACACCAUGUAACUUCACAAUCUCACGGAUAUAAAUCUUUUCCAACUGAGAUACAGGAAAAUUGAUGUUAAUCGGAAUAAAAUGAGCCGACUUCGUCAGUCUAUCCACAAUUACCCAAAUCGCAUCAUGUCCUUUUGGAGUAUUCGGCAAACUCGUCACAAAAUCCAUGGAUAUACUAUCCCACGUCCACUCUGGAACAUCUAAAGGUGUCAACAACCCAACAGGUUUCUGAUGUUCAACUUUCGACUUUUGACAAAUUAAACACGCAUACACAAAUUGUGCCACAUCUCGCUUCAACCCGGACCACCAAAACAACUUCUUCAAAUCAUGAUAUAUUUUUGUAGCUCCCGGAUGAAUACUCAAAUUAUUUCUGUGACCUCCCUUCGGAACCAAAUGAGGUACUUCAAAGUAACCUCCCUGUUGAAAUUUCGUCUAAAACGACGAAGACUCUCGGCUUUAAAAAAUACGAAUAAAAUGGGUAAAAACAGAUAAAAGUGAUCAAAAUUUGGGGUAUGACAGGCAGCAUCUAGACGCUCAUUUAUGCAACUUUUGUGGCUCUUAUGUGUGUGGGUGUUAUGGACUGAACGUAAUAAUAGACAGUUUAAUAACACCAAAAUUUCUAUUCAUCAGAUAUUCGAAAAGGUUCAAAUUCAUUCUUAUUGGUGGAUGAAUGCAGCAAAUGCAACUUUUGUAUUAGGGGUUCAUAACUGACUAGCUUGCCCUAUUCUUUGUUUGGGUAUAGGUUAGCUGACCCUUUUCUUUUUUCUUUCAUUUUGACCGAACACUUUGUGUAAUAAUGGUCGCUCUCUUUUAGCACAUCUUGUGCGGAAGUAGCGACAUUUGAUUGUUAAUAUAAGUCUCAUUCUUGCUUGUUAAAAAAAAAUUAACAAUUAUUUCUCAGUUUUUAUCAUCAACAUCAUUUCUUACAUUACCCCUAAAAAAAUCAUUUCUUACAUUAAUUUUAUCUUAUUUUUCAAUUCAAAUAACAUUGCAAAUGCAAUUUUUUACGCAUAACACUCGCUUGGAUGCAUAACCCUGUGCAGAGCAUGGACCCGUUAGGACUUAAAAGCCAAGCAAGAAAUAAAAGGAGAAGCCGCAUGGUGCACAUAGUUAAAUUCUAGAACAGUAAAAGCAAUGAUCCUAUUUCCAUGAAUUUUACUUUUCUUGUCCAUUGAGCAAAGUGAUGGAGAUAUAGUUAAAUUCUAGAUUAGUGAUGUCCAGUUCGUUACGAGGACAAGUUACUUUUUUUAGUAGUGAAGAUUAGUGAUAAAACUAGAUUAAAGUGAAGGUGUAAGAUUUUUUUUAAGCAAGCAUAUUUACUUAUCUUGUUCAUUAGGUAAAGGUUUGAGAGAAAAAAAAUCCAAAGCAGUACAGUGAGCCCAUAUUAUAUAAUAUUAUAUAAUACACGUUUUGAUUUAAAUUCCUCAACCAUUAUUAUAUUGAAAGAAUGAUGGCAUCCCAAACUACCCUUGAAAAAAAAAUUGUGGAGCUAGAAAAUUCAAAGCAAAUACCCCAAAGUUCACGACCAAAGAUACAAAGGGUGCCACACAAUCUCAGAAACAGAAAAAACUUUGAGAAGUAUUACUCACCCAAGUUCCUGUCAAUAGGUCCUAUCCAUCAUGGCAAUACAGAUCUGAAGUUAGGAGGGAAGUACAAGCUUAUGUGGGCAGCAAAAUACAUUGAAAAUACAAGACUCAAUCCACGGGAUCUACACAAAAAGAUUUUUGAUAACAUCGAUGAACUGAAGGGUCAUUUUGACGAUGAUGUAAUUUUAACUUUAACCGGCAAGUCUCUUGAAGGCUUUGGAAGCCUUGAAGAAAAGCUGUCGUGGAUAUUGUUCGUGGAUGGAUGCUCUUUGCUUUAUAUCUUGGAUGGAUGUUGUACGUGGAUGGAUGACCCAGAGCCUAUGGAUAUUAAGGUUGAUCAACUGGUUCUUGUGAUGAUGGAUGUGCUUUUGUUGGAGAAUCAACUACCUUAUCAAGUACUCAAGCUAUUGUGGAAAGAUGAAGACAAGAGUGGAUUGAUAGAAAGCAUCAUGAAUUUCUUCAAAUAUAUUUUGGCAAGACCAGGUGAGUCGCAGUCAGAGAAGGAGAUACACGUGGUUCUAAACGGAGGAGAACAUAUUGUAUCAAUACUAAAUGAGUCACAGCUGGAGACACCCACUCAUCUUCUUGAUCUUCUGCGUAAAAUCACCCUCAUUGGAUCUAAACCCAAGGUACAAUAAAAUCUACUAACAAUAUCAAAAUUUUAUAAUUGUCCUUUUUUAAUGCCAUGAUCUUCUUAAUUUUAUGUGAUUAGUUAUCAUAUUUAACGUUGUUUCGCAUAUAAAAUAGAAUAUAUAUUUAAUAGAAACACUACAUCUACUACUAAUUAUAAUAUAAUAAUAUAAUAAAAUCGUACUCAGGCAAAAUUUCAUAAUUAUCAUUUUUUUAAAUCUUGAUCUUAUUAAUUUAUGUGCCUAAUGGUAAUCAUAAUUAUUAACUUCUAAGUUUAACUAAUUCCCCUAUAUAUCAUCAGAAUUACUGACAAUUUUGUUUCCAAUUUCACACAAGUCUAGCUAAUUCCAUAUAUUCUCUUUCAAAAAAAAAAAAAAAACUAAUUCCAUAUAUUUGUUAAUUUAGUUUUAUUUUUUUUGUCUUAUCAUUUUUAAACCAAGCCUAAAAUUAGUUCCCUAUAUUUUGCAAAUAAAAAAAACUCAAUUUAUUUCUUCUUUAUUCUCUUUCUUAUCUUAUUCCAUUUAUCUAUUGCUACUAUAAGAAAAUCAUACUCUAGCAAAAAAUUUAUAGUUAUCCUCGGUUAAACUAAUUUCCUAUAAGCAAUGUAUUAUGACAUAAAUAUAGAAAAACAACUUAUUCUCGUUUUUUUAAUCUCUUAAUCUGACUAAUUUUUCUAUAACUUUUUUUAAUAUAAACGCUAUACUAAUGUUGAUAUUCUUAAAUAAUCGUUAUUUUUCAAAAUCUCAAAAAAGAAAAACAAAAAUAUUACAUCGGAUACUAAUAGAAACACAUGAAAUUUGAUUUUGGGGAUAUAAACACAUAAAAUCUGCAACGAGUGCGGUGCAAAUAUUUAAUGGUGUUUUGUAUAUAAAAUAAAAAAUAUUUAAUAGAAACACUAUAUUUAUGUUGAUAUUUUAAAAAUAGUCACGAGUUUUUAAAAGUUUAUCAUAUCGACUAUCACAUAACGGUACACAAAAAAUUUCUUCUGCAUAUAUAAACAUAUAAAAUCCUCAAUGAGUGGGGUGUAAAUAUUUAAUGGUGUUUUAAAUAUAUUCAUGGGUUUCCAAAAUUUUAUCAUAUCAACUUUCCAAAAUAUAUAAAAUCCUGCAUACAUUAAUGUUGAUAUUUUAAAAAUAUUCAUGGGUUUCCAAAAAUUUAUCAUAUCAACUUUCUCAUUUAGGUAUAUAAAAAUCUGUUUAUGCAUAUACAAACACAAAAAUCUACAACGAAAGCGCCGCCAAUAUUGAAUGGUGAUCUGCAUAUAAAAUAAAAAGUUACUUAAAAGAUGCACUACAUUAAGGUUUAUAUUUUGAAAAUAGUCAUGAGUUUUCAAAAUUUUAUCAUAUAGACUUUCUAAUGUAUCUAAAUAAAAAUUUGUUUAUUCAUAUAUAAGCACAUAAAAUCUGCAACGGGUGCGAUGCAAACAUUGAAUGAUGUUUUGCAUAGAAAAUAAAAGUUAUUUAAUAGAAAUACUACAUUAAUUUUAAUAUUUUGAAAAUAGUCAUGAAUUUUCAAAAUUUAAUCAUAUCGACUACAUAAGCAUUUAUUUUUGCAUAUAUAAGCAAAUAAAAUGCAUAUUUAUUUUGAAAAUAGUAAUGAGUUUUCAAAAUAUUAAUUUAAGUAUAAUUAUGAUUUUUUUUAUUAUCAUAAGCAAAGAUGAUCCAAUCCAUUUUUGAUUAAAACAUAGACUAAAAGCAAUGAAGCUAUUACUUCUAAGGAAGCAUCAGAGGAGACAGGUCCACAAAAAUUGAUUAAGAAGCUUCUUCAAAAAAUAAAGAAAUGGAGUCAGAAGAAGAAAGAGUUCAAGCUGAUUACGUAUAGGAACAUACAAGAUCUAAAAGCAGUAGGAAUAAGAGUUAAGUCAAGCAAGACACGAUGGCUGAGAGACUUAGAUUUCUCCGCAGGAUGGUUCGCUGCGAAACUGACUCUUCCUGAGAUCGUUGUGGACGACACAUCAGCCACUAUUUUCCUCAAUAAGAUAGCAUAUGAGAUGUGUCCAGAUUUUAAGAAUGACUACGGGAUUUGUUCUUUUGCAGCUUUCAUCGAGUCACUUAUCGACCAUCCUGAAGAUGUGAGGGAAUUGAGAUCAAAAGGGAUUUUGCUCAAUUGCUUUGGGAGUGAUGAGGAAGUUGCCAAUAUUUUCAAUAUCAUAACCACUGAUGUGAUGACUAACAUAAACACAUAUCAUGAGCUUAGACGCAAAAUAAAUGAGCAUUACUGUAAUAAAUACAAGACUUGGAUAGCACAGGGUUUUCACACUUACUUCAGCAGUCCUUGGGCCAUUACUGCAUUCCUUGCUGCGUUUAUCGCCAUUGUUCUUACUUUCAUUCAGACAUGGUUUACGAUUCACCCGGCUUGCUAAUAAAGGUGGCUCGUUAUGACAAUGUUGUUUUCGUUAUGGCACUCAUCACUUCUCUAUGGAUUUUUAAUCGGUUGAGUUUUUCUUAAUGAAUAAAUUUUGGGUUAAGUUUGCUUGUACAUCAUCAUGACUAUGAGUAUUUCAAAAAUAAAGAGUGCCUUUUUUCCUGUAUUGUGUGUUUGAAUUGAAACAUGAAUAAAUUAAUAUUCUCAUUGAUGAUCUAUGUGUACUAUAUUGGUGCGAUUAUGUUGAUUUUAUUUAGAUGAGUUAUUUAAUAUUGUGUUCAUACGAAAGCCUAUUAAUGCUUAAUUAGACAAGUAUAUAUGAUGAGGACUGUUAUAUAGUACGAGUGUUUUCCAUACGAAUUUUUACCGAAGUCUAUUAAUGCUUACUUUCCAUGCGCUCAAUAGUGCACGUAGAAAAAAACAUUAGAACUGCAACGAAAAGUUUAAUGAUCAGGCCACGCCAAUUGAAAGCAAAAUCUGAGAAUUAUAAUCUAUAUAGCAUCCACUUCAUUUGUGACAAUAUCAAUGAAUCAUAGAUUGUGGCUAGGUUGUUGUUACUAGGUUGAAAUAAAAUUCUACAUUAAGGUUCUUACUCUUUAGCAAUUCUUACUUUCGUACUUCUUCGAGGUUCUAUAACAUCUCGUACAAUGUACUCAUAACUAUUUCUGAUUAUUGAAAUGUGAUCAGAUAUUGUGCCCCCACUAAUUCUUAAUUUUUAAAAGGGAAUUAUUUUUCCCCCACUAAUGUCGUGCUCCCGCUAGUCUCCAAUAGUGCCUCCACUAUUCUUUAUUUAAGGGGUAAAUAUUUACAUAGAAAUCGACAUCUUUUAAUUAUAUGAUCACUUUAGCAUUUAGGUCAUAAAAUCUAUAUGAUUCACUAUUUAUAACAUACUCAAUGAAUACACAUUCAUAGGCUCUACUAGUGAGUUCAACUCUCUUGAGGUUCAAAAUCCAAAUAUAACCUAGACAAUCCUAAGUACAAAAAAUAAGACAUGUUGAUUUGUGUUUUCUUUAAAAAUUUCUUAAUUAGAAUUUUUGUUCUUAGACUUGGGUACUCUAUCCAACAUAAAUUUCAAUUUUCGUUAUGAAAAUUAAACAUAUCAAGCAUAUCAAUUUUUUUUCUUUUCAAAAUUCACUGAUAUGAUAAAAUAUUAUUCUAUCAUUUCUAGUUUAUGUGCUAUCAAGUUCGCUUAUAUCAUGAUUUAUUAAGUUUAGAGAUUCAAAUUCUCUAAACACUGAUUUAUAUGAACUUCUGGUUCAAAUAUCUUGAUUGCAAAAAACAAAAUUGUCUAAUCAUAUAAUUUUGGAAUUAAGUCUAAGUUACUCAUGUUUAAAAUUAAACGCUUUUUCAUAUUAUAAAUUUUGACAAGUCAAAUAUUAAAAUCACACAACUAAUAAUUGUUUGCCUGUGUUUUUGGCAAACUACAUGCUAGUUCUGAUUAUUACAAGCGAGACCAAACUAGAGAUCUCAUGAGCAUGUUGUGCAAGCUUGCCCCACGUUUCCACUAAGGAAACCGUUUCCAAGCUUGAAAUCAUGCUUUCCCGCCUUCAUUGUUUGACUUUGACGCGAUCUCUCUUCAGCCUUGCUUUGUCGAAACUCUGAUUAUGCGCUUUAGGAUUGAUUUCUCGUCGAAAUUCUUUAAUAGAAAUGAGAAAGUCUUUGAUUCCUGCAAAGUAAAAGAUCAACCAAAUAUUGAGCAUAUUAAAUGAGCAUGUUGAAUUUACAGACUAACAAUAAUAUAGAAGGAGAAUUUAAUUUUGACCAUAUCAUCAAAAACGUAGUCUUAAUUUUAUACGAAACAUUUGGAACAAAAUUCUCCUAUAAUUUCUAGUUCAAAUUUUAUACAUAUAACAGGGACUAUUUAUAUGGUAAAUUACCCUCCUGUUACACGAUACAUUCCAACUGUUCAGAAGCUUUAGACAAUUUGUUUCUUAUUAUGAGAAUUAUAUAAAACUAAGCAUAAGCAUUUCAUCACAUAAGUAAGUGACUUUAAGUUUCAUCCGAAAAACAUUAGUUCAUCAAAUAACAACAUCACAUUAUUUCUUUUCCGAUCCAAGUUUUUUUUUUUUUUUUUUUAACAAACUAGUUACAAACCCGUGCUUCGCACGGGUUGAAUAACGUAUUUUUUAAAAAUUUAGCUCCAAAGGAGAAAUCUUAUAAAUUACGAAAAAUUGUUGUUCUUUAUAAAUGUGAAAAUCAAAGCUGCAUAAACCAAAAUUUUGCAACACAGAUCCUAAAACACUACAUAAAAAAUAACAUAACAACUAUUGUAAUCUCUUAUUCCUUAAAGUUAACCCGAACGCAAAAUUUUGCCCUGGAUUUAACCUAACUUCUUUUCUUAAUUUUAUUGUAUUAACCCUAUUUAAUUUAAUCAAAAUGUUAACGUUAAUUGUUAGGGAAAUCAAAAUAAACAAAUAGCUCCUGAUUUUUCUCCUUAAUUUUACCAAACAAAUUUCAUUAACCCUAGAUUUAAUUUAUGUAAAAUGUCAUCUCUUAUCUCUUAUCUCUUAUCUUCUUAUAUAUUAAAGUUAACCCGUAAGCCCUAAUUUUAACCUAAACCCUAUUGCAUAAUUUUACUGUUUUAACCCUAAUGGUCACACCUAAUCUCCUAUUUUUAUGAACAACCCUAACAAACAGUUAAAGGGUAUCAUUUACGGUAAAUGCCAAAUAUUCGAUAAAAGGAAAAUUAUUGAAAUAAAACAUUUUACAUGUUGAGGUUAAGAAUGAGCUAUUUUUAGGUACAUAAUAUAACAUUAACAUAUAAUUUUUACAAAAGAAUGAAGUAACAUUUUGUCAAAAAAAAAAAAAAAAAAAGAUAAAGUAACAUACCAAUAAUAUAACAUUGACAUAUAAUUUUAACAAAAGAAUGAAGUAACACACGAUUGAUAAAAAUUAAUAUUUUUAAGGUGAAUAAGUGUGGUGUCUGAGGUUCGAAUUCCAACAUCUGCAUAUAUUUGGGACCACAUAUUUUAUUCUCUUUGAUAUGCAUUGAGAUUUGUUUUUGUCUACUACAUCUACAAUGUAUAUGACCUGUGCGGCAGCACGGGUGGAAAGUCUAGUAUUUAUAAACGUUAACCCGUGACGCAAUAUUAACCCUAGAUUUAACCUAAUUUUUUCGUGUGACUUUACUAUAUUAACCCUAGAUUUAAUUUAUGCAAAAUGUCAUCUCUUAUUUCUAAAUGUUAAUCCGUGACGCAAUAUUAACCCUAGAUUUAACCUAUUUUUUCGUGUGACUUUACUAUAUUAACCCUAGAUUUAAUUUAUGCAAAAAUGUUAUCUCUAAUUUUAACCUAAUUUUUCCCUCCACACUUUUGCAGCGUGAGUUGAAAAGAGGUGUUUGUGAAAUAAAUUGUCGAGAAGUAAUUUUUUAAAGUAACAUUCAACAGCUUCUGGUCAAAAGCUCAUUCCAUUCAAUUUUAUGCGUUCAAAAAAUGUUCUUUUUUUAGUAAGUACUUAAUUGAUAUUGUGUUUGGCCUAACUUCUCCUUAAAAAUGUUGAAGCAACUGAAUUUGGGAGAAAAAAUUUAAAAAUAGUUAAAAAUAUAAAAAUUGAAAAAUUAUUAAAAAUAUAAAAAUUAGAAAAUAAUUAAAAAAAUUGGUUAGGGGCAAAAAUGGAAAUUCAUAGGCCAACCUUAAAAAAAACUCAACAAAUUUGUAAUUUACCAAAUUAUCCUUUAUAGGGGCAAAAUAGUAAAUUCAAGGGACAUUUCUUUUAAUAUAAGUAUAUAGACUUGUCAAUUUAUCAAUAUCAAUGAUAAUCAGGUAUAAUUGGAGUUUUUAUUCACAAUAAAUUUAAAACAGAUCUAGAGUUGUGUGUAUGAAUUUUUUAGUGUUGUUGUUAUAACAACAAGCACUUCAUUGUUUGAGUCGAGAGUAUGAAAUCCUUCUUGUAUUUAAGGACAACAGAAUCUCAAUAAGUAAUUUCUUCGGUAGACAUAGCAGUCGAAACGUCUUAAAAUUGUUGUUUUUGGAUUUCCAAACAAUUUUAUUUGGAUUUCCAAAUUCUAUUUUGAAAUAGAAUAUCUGCUGAAGUUGUUACUAGGUUGAGUCACGACUAGGACCCUCUCUUUAAGAAGUUUAGUGGCACUGCCCAAAGUUGUGCAAGGCAGACAAUCAACAACUUCGCAUCCAGAAUAAAACAAGCUCACCUACAACUGUGCGGUUAACUACUGCAGUGUAGAAAAUCGUUCGAGAUUUAAACCUCCAAUAUGGGACAAAGACCAUUCUUUUAAUAAUGAAACCACUUUAAUAUGGUAUUAUUACCACUUUAAUAUGGUGUUGAGAUAACUCAAAUAUGGUGUUACCACCAUUAUAACUUUAAUUUUUCCAAAAUAUCAAUAUGACACUACGACCACUCAAAUAUGGUGAUACCACCAUUUUGACUUUUUAAUUUCUACUCAAAUAGAAAAAUAUUUAUAUAGUAUUAAGAUCAUUCUUAAUUCCGACGGAACAUUAUUAUUUCAAAAGGGACCAUGAUCUUAAAAGUACUCUUUAUUCCGAAGGGACAUACUUUUGAAGGGAUUAUGUUUUAAGAUCUUUCUUAAUUCCAAAUGGACAUUAUACUGAAUAGGGACUAAGGUCUUAUGAAAACUCUUAAUUCCGAAGGGAAAGAAAAAUGAGACGAGGAGAAGAAUAGCUCGCCAACACAAGCUGGAGGGAGAAGAGAGAAAAAGUUCUCAGCAACUCAAUAGAAACUCUUUGGUAUGAUUUUUGAACUGAGUGGAGUACUCUAUUUAUAUAGAGAUUUUGUAACUGUUUUAGCAAAAAUUGCGGCAACAGUUAAUCUAAUAGAUAAUAUCAAAAGGGAACUUAUCCAUUAAUCAGUUCAACAACACUUGUGGAUAAGAUAAAAAAGAAACAAAUCCAUAAAAGUGAAGGGAACUAACUCAUUGGAUUUGAAGGAAUGAAAUAUAAGAAAUUCAAUUAAAUUCUUAUUCUUAUUCUUAUCACAACCACCAUAAGGUAAAUUAUGGGAAGUGAUAUUCACGAAUAAAAAUAAUAAUUACUAUUAUUUUUAUCAUUAUCAAGUAUAUAAAAUUAAAUACCGCAAUUUAAACAGUACUAAUGUGUGUGCUCUAUUUUAUGUGGGAUCCCACAUUCUAUUUUUUCAAUUCACACAACGUUAGAUCAAAGUAUAAUUACUUGGUGUUUAUUCUUCCAAUUUUUCUUCCAACAUCACACCAAUGUUCCAACAAAAACUAUACUAUACACAGUCUCUUUUCAACUCGGCGGUGACGGCGGCAUACACCAGCAACCUGACGUUAUUGUGACAACAUCAUGGCGUAAGAUUUAACCAUCAUGAAGUGGUUAUUUUCGAUCUCAGUGAUGAAGUUUUGCUCAUUCGAAAUUACGAUAUCUUCAUAGUCGCUGUUGUUUUGGGAUCUUCAACCUCAAAGAAGCUAGAUCUUAAUCAUUGUUCUUGUUUUGGAGGUUUUCAGGCAUCCGUGAAUAUCCGUAUGCAAAAUUCCUGUACUAAAUAUCAUUUUCCAUUUAUGAUUUUCAUAAAAUCAUAGACAUGACAACACACAAAGUAUUCGUUUACGAAAUAACCUAACAACAAUAUACGAUCACUAUUUAUGAAAAAUGAUUAUAUAUUCUAGACUCGCAUAUAUACUUCUCAUGCAAAAUUAUAGAAAUAAUUCAUGAAUCUGACAAAUGAUUUGUAAAUGAAAAUUAUUUAAUUGUGGUAUAUAUUAAAAAAAAAUUAUAACCAAAUGCGAUAAUAUGGAUAUACAAUUAAGAGUAAUAGAAAAGUGGACAAAUGCGUUUGUGUUUCCGCUAGUACAAGGCAACAAUACCAUAUUUAAAUCAUAUUCAUCUCAAAUUUGUAUGUGUAUCUUGUUACACUCUGUAUUCACAUUUCUAUAUUCUCUAAGUUGGCGUUGCCAUUGACGCAGUUGACUCGGAAAGGACAAGCUUAUGUUUGUGAUGUUAGGUGUGAGAAGAGUUUCCAAGAGUUGAAGAAGGGGUUCACUUCAGCUCCAGUGUUGAUUUUUCCGAAUCCGAAGGAAUUGUUUGUUGUGUAUAAUAAUGCUUCUAAGAUGGGUCUUAGUGGUGUGCGCUUAUGUAGAAUCGUCAGGUUUUGACUUAUGCGUCGAGACAAUUGAAAGUGCAUGAGAAGAACUAUCCAACUCAUGAUUUGGAAUUGACGGCAAUCCUGUAUGUAUUGAAGAUUUAGAGGCAUUAUCUGUAUGGUUCUAAGUUUUAAGUGUUCAGUGACUACAAGAGUUUGAAGUACUUGUUUGAUAAGAAAGAGUUGAAUAUGAGGCAGAGGAAUUGGUUGGAGUAUCUUAAGAAUUUCGACUUUCAGUUCAGUUAUCAUCCCGGGAAGGCUAAUGUUGUUGCUGAUGGUUUGAGUAAAAAGACUUUGCAUAUGUCUGCUUGAUGUUUAAAUAGUUGGAAUUGAUUGAGCAGUUUCGAGAUUUGAGUUUGGUAAGUGAGUUGACGCCGAAUGGUGUGAGGCUAGGAAUGUUGAAGCUAACAAGUAAUAUUUUGGAAGAGAUUAAGAAUGGUCAGAAGGAAGAUUUGGAACUUGUGGCUCGAGUGGUGUUGGUUAAUCAAGGUAAAGGUGGGGAUUUUAGAUUGGGUGAGAACCGUGUUUUGAUGUUUCGUGAUUGAGUUUGUGUUCCGAAUGUGGUUGAGCUUAAGAGACAGAUUUUGGACGAAGGUCACAGGGGUAGUCUGAGUAUUCAUCCAGAAGCGACUAAGAUGUAUCAGGAUUUGAAGAUGUUGUUUUGGUGGCCUGGACUGAAGAAAGAGAUUUCAGAAUUUGUUUAUGCUUGCUUGGUUUGUCAGAAAUCGAAGAUUGAACAUCAAAGACCGUCAGGUUUGAUGCAACCGUUGAUUGUGCUAGAGUGGAAGUGAGAUAGUAUCUCUAUGGACUUUGUUGGAGUGUUACCAGAUAUUGUGAAGGGUUUUGAUUCGAUUUGGGUGAUUGUUGAUCGGUUGACGAAAACGGCACAUUUUGUUUCUAUCAAGACCGGUAUGUCUGUGGCAAAGUUGGCUGAAAUCUACAUUGAACAGAUUGUUAGGUUGCAUGGUAUUCCUUCUAGUAUUGUGUCGGAUCGGGAUCCGAGGUUUACUUCUAAGUUUUGGGAAAGUUUGCAAGCUGCUUUGGGAACUAAGUUGAGAUUGAGUUAUGCUUAUCAUGCCCAGACCGAUGGCCAGACUGAGAGGACUAUUCAGAGUUUAGAGGAUUUGUUGAGAGCUUGUGUUUUGGAGCAAGAUGUCAGUUGGAUCGAAUGUUUACCGUUGAUUGAAUUUACUUACAACAACAGUUUUCAUUCUAGUAUCGGUAUGGCACCGUUUGAGGCUUUGUAUGGUCGGAGGUGUAAGACAACGUUGUGUUGGUUUGAGUCAGGAGAAAGUGCUUUGUUAGGACCGGAAGUUGUGCAAGAGACUACGGAAAAAUAUAAGAUGAUUCAAGAGAAGAUGAAAGCGUCUCAAAGUAGACAGAAGAGUUAUCAUGAUAAGAGGAGGAAGGACAUUGAAUUUCAAGUUGGUGAUCAUGUGUUUUUGAGAGUGAACCUUGUGAUUGGUAUUGGACGUGCUUUGAAGUGUAAGAAAUUGACUCCUCGUUUUGUUGGACCUUUUGAGAUUAUUGAGAAGGUUGGGGUUGCAGCGUAUCGGAUUGCGUUACCACCGUCUUUGUCGAAUCUUCAUGAUGUGUUUCAUGUGUCUCAGUUGCGGAAGUAUGUGUAUGAUGCGUCUCAUGUGAUUCAAGUGGAUGAUUUGGAAGUAAGGGAUAGUUUGACCGUUGAGACUUGGCCAGUUAGGAUUGAGGAUCGCAAAGUGAAGCGUUUGCAUGGCAAGGAGAUUGUUUUGGUGAAAGUGAUUUGGGUUGGACCAACUGGUGAGAGCGCCACUUGGGAAUCGGAGAGUAGGAUGAAGGUUUCGUAUCCGAAGUUGUUUCCUUCAGGUAAUUUUCGAGGGCGAAAAUUCUUUUAGGGGGGAGAGUUGUAACAGCCCAAUUUUCGCUAGAAUUAUUUUUAAUUGUUUUAAUGUGUGUUUAUAUGUGCUUGUGUGUGAUUAUUUACCAUUGGGUGCAUUUUAAUGGGUUUUAGUACAAAAAGGGUAAUUUGGUCAUUUUGUAAGUAAGGGUAAAUUAGUAAUUUCAUGGUGAGGGUUAUUUGUAGUUUUUCAAGUGAGAACCAUUAUUUUACCAAGUUACUAGUGUGGUAAUUAGUUGUAAGCUGGUAAGUGAUCGUUGUUAUUAUUUUACCAUUAAGUCAGUAGAAAUAUUCUAGGAGCUAAAUUGAAGCUUUUGCUAGGAUUAUUGCUUAUUGAUGUAAGGGGGUUAGAAUUCAAUCAUAAUCACUUAGUUAAUUUCUUCAAAACUUGUGUACUAUGAGUUCAAUUAAGGUGUUUAAGAGUAUUUAACCUAUGUUGUGAUGGAUCUAACUUUGUUUUGUUUUGAAAAUGAAUUGGGUUUGCAUUAUGAGUAAAACGAUACGAACUUUGCAAAACUUUGAAAUUUAAGUGAGUUGGCCUAUGAGACGUUGAUGGAUACACUACUGCACUCAUAUGUGAUUGGUGUAUAUACUUAGUUGAGGUUUCCAAAUGUGUUUACUUUGUUUUGUCGGAUAACUUGAAAAUUGGUAAAAUGAUACAAACUUGUUGUAACUUGUGAUUUUGAUGAUUUUUGUCGUGGUUGGCCGGUGAAACGAACAUGUGUAUUCAACUACAUGCAUAUGUGAUCUAAGUGUAUACAUAGUAGAGACCCUAGAGUUUAUUUAUUUGGUUUUGAUUCAUUUGUCUCAAUUGUUUUAAAGUUGUAAAAUGAGAGACGAACUUUGUCGGAAAUAAUCUUAAGACCAAAUACUUGGCAAAUCUUUUGUGGAUAGUUUUCUAUGACUAUAUGAAUAUAUGUGAAUGCUUUAUAGGUGUUGAAUAUGAUGUUUAUCAUAAUGUGUUGUAUUUUCUCCUUUACUUGAAUUGUGAGAAAUUGUAUGGAGUUGUUGAACUAUAUGAUAUAGUUGAUGUUGAAUAAUGCAUAUAUGUUAAUUGAUGAGGAUAUUGUUGGUGAAUACAUAUAUGUUGAUUGAUUGCAAUAUUGUUGGUGAAUGCAUAUAUGUUUGUUGGUUGUGAUAUUGUUGGUGGAUACAUAUAUGUCAAUUGAUUGUGAUAUUGUCGGUGAAUGCAUAUAUGUCAAGUGAUGGUGAUUUUGUUGGUGAUUGCGUAUAUGCUAAAUGAUUGAUGAUGAUGUGGUGAUGACUCUAAAUUGAUUUAUGACUUGAUUGAUUGUGUGGACGUAAAUACUUGAUAAUGCAAUUGUUGUUGAGGUGAUCAAUAUAAAUGGAGGUUAUCCUUUAUAUUGUUGUUGAAUAUUAUGAGGUGAUUUUACAUUGUCGAGUCUUUGCUUGUAUGUCCAUGCAUCAUAGUCAUGUUGAGUCUUGAUGUUGUAAAGGAGGGCUACUCUUUUACUUCGGUGAUAAUGUAAGAGGAUGUGUAAUCUUACAUAAGAUGUUCUGUUAGCAUCUUGAGGUGACGACCUUUGAGGCGAUUUGGUACCACAUGCAUAUAUGUGUCGUGUAUAGGCGCAUAUCAUAUUGCCAUGAGUCUUUGUUGUUGCACGUGAAGGAUGAUUGUUGUUGAUAAGUGUGUUUGAUGAAUACAUACUUGUGACAUUUGGAUUGAUUGGUUGAUGAAUUGUGUCAUAAUUGAAUAUGUGACUUAAUUAGUUUGUGCAUUGGUGAAAUUGUUGAAUGAUGUGAUUUAUGUGGAUUGUGUAUAUGUACAUUAGUGGAUUUUGUUGAUGGUUGUAAAUAAAUGAUCUAUGCUCUAAUUGCAUAUCUUUUUUACUUGUGCUUAUACACAUUAUGAAUCUACUUAAUGAUAAAUGUUUUGGUAAUAGUGAUGAGGUGAGAAUUAUAUAUGUGUAUAUACAUAUAUGUUUUGGUGAUUCCUUUGAUAAUGAUAAUUACUUGCUUAUAACUUUGAAAUGAUUAAUUAUACUUGUUGAGUUAUGUAUGCUAAAUGAAAAAUAAGGUGAGUAAUCCUUUCAUUGAUUAACUGUUGAUAAAUGAUGAGCUUAGGUCGAUGAUUUGAUUAGUGAGUGAAUAUGUUCCUAUGCUGUGUUAGUAAUUUGAUAGCUUGAAAUGUAUGUGGUGGGGGAUAAUAAUCAUGUGAUGCUAGUAUUCUAGGAGGAUGGUUAUGUAUAUGUGCUAUGCAUGAAUCCUUGAAUGCCUAUGUUUAUUUAUGUUGAUUAUGAUUGAUGUGAAGCUUACCCCCAUUGGAUCUGUAAUGGACCGCCUACCUGUUUGUAUGAAUGGGUAGACUGCGUGCAUGAUUAGUUGCUUUUGGUGAGUUGCUUGGUGAUUGCUUGGAUAGCGGGAGCUAUCUCCGUUAUCGUCUCCGUAGAGUCUUAGGAUAGACUCUGAUCUAGGAUGCCUGUCUGAUGAUUAUUCUAUAUUGUUUAUUCUGGAUUUAUUUAUGUUGAGGAGAAUUUCUAUGAUGAUGUAUUUGAUCUCAUGGCAUGUAUACUUUGAGGUGUAUGGUUUAUAUCCGCUGCAACUGUUGAGAAUUCUUAUAUAUGCCUGAUAUUUGGAUUUUGUUGAUGGCGUGGCGUCUAUUUCUUGAAUAUUUAUAUUAUUCGCGUGUUUUAUCGCUUUAAUAGAAAUAGGGCGUUACAGACUGUACAUAGCUCAUGUUGUGAAAGUGCCUCAAAAUUGAAGAAAUUGGAAUCCUGGAAGCUGAAAAUCGGUGGCCGAUUUUCAGGGCACAGUGGCUGAUUUUAACCUGUUUUAUUUGAGCUUCAGGUUCGGCAAAAAUCGGUGGCCAAUUUGGAGCAUUCAGUGACUGAAUUUGACAGCAGAAAAUAAAACAAAAAAAUAUUUUCGGGCUUAGAUUUGUUUCAGUUUUAUUGAGGAUUCUUUUACUAUAAAUAUAGAUAUUGUAUCAAUGUAAACCUUGAGAUAGAGGGGGCUGAAACAAGGGUUUAGAAAGGCAACAUCAAAACUAGGGUUUGUAUAGAGUUUGUCUCUUGGCAACAAACACUAGGGUUUGAGGGUUGAUUCACCUUGGGAAACACUAUUAGGAUUGAGUCUCUUGGUUACGAGAAGAUAUUGGGACUUUGGGUAGCAUUAGGCGGGAGACGUAUUCUUGUAACCCAUUGAUAUAUCUUUUGUAAGGUUACUUAUCAUAUAGUGAAACAGUGGGCUGCUCUCUCCCCUAGACUAGGUUAAUUUGGACCGAACUGGGACAACAAAUUCUUGUGUUCUCUCUUCUUUUCUCCCGCUGUUUUCUACUUUUGGCUUGUGUUUAUAAUUGUUCCUUACACUUUGUUUUGGUUGCUUGAUUAUUCCUUGCUCCACAAAUCAAGUUUGUUAUCGGUGUGAUUUUUCAUCGAAUUCACAACAAUUGGCGCCCACCAUGGGGCAAGGGUCAAAGAAUAAUCAAGUACCAUGGGUUCGAAGUGGGAUAUUGAGAAGUUUACCGGAGAUAACGAUUUUGGGUUAUGAAAGGUAAAGAUGGAAGCGGUUUUAAUACAACAAAAGUGUGAGAAAGCUUUGAAGGGUGAAGGUGCGUUACCCGGUCACCAUGUCACGAGCGGAAAAGACCGAGAUGGUGGACAAGGCCAAGAGUGCCAUUGUCUUGUGCCUCGGGAAUAAAGUUUUGAGAGAAGUAACGAAAGAACCAACCGCGACAUCGAUGUGGUCAAAGUUCGAAUCUUUGUAUUUUACAAAGUCUUUGGCUCAUCGGCAGUUCCUAAAGCAACAACUUUACUCAUUCAAGAUGGUAAAAUAAAAGGCAAUCAUGGAGCUACUUGUGGAGUUCAACAAAAUCAUUGGUGAUUUGGAGAACAUUGAGGUGCGUCUUGAGGAUGCGGGUACUCUGAUGGCGUAGUGUUGUUUGGAGGAUGAAGAAGGUGAUGUGUCUCACCUUGAGAAUGAUGCCUAGUGGAGCGGUGGUCAUCUGGAGAGACGCUAAACACUCAACAUCAUCCAGGAGACGCGGUGGUAAGAAUACUCAUGAUCAGUUCGGAGAGGCGGAGGAACCAAUACUCAUGAUCUACUUGUUAAGAUGGAGUUUCAAGGUUGAAGACAUAAUGGGAUAUACACAUUUUCUAGUUGAGGUAGAGUACACUCAGCGUGAGGUGGAGUUGAACACACCAGUAAUGGUACGGCUAUGGAGGACCUUGGGUGCUAUGCUCUAUGGUGAGCAAGGGAUUUCUUCAUGAAGACGGAAGAUAUUCCGAAGGUUGAAGAAUGUAUAGCACGACUUGCGGGAUUACCCUAAAAAAAGGCCAAGGGUGAUUGGAUGCAAGGUGACCUUCAAGGAAGCGGAAGAUGUUCUGUGUUGAAGAUGUUAUGGUGAAUGCUUGUCGAACUACAUAAAAUUCCUAGUGUAGUUGGACUGCAAGGACUCUUCGAGAAGGCGGGAGACGUUCCGAUGGCAGAAGAGGUUAAGGUGAAUGCUUGUGGAACUACCUAAAAUUCCUAGCGUAGUUGGACUGCAAGGACCUUCGAGAAGGCGGAAGACAAUCCGAUGGCUGAAGGGGUUAGGGUGUAAACUUGUGGAGCUACUUGGUGUGGUGGGAAGCAAGGGAAGGAGCAACAUGGUGGUUGAUGGUGUGGCAUCAUCACUAAUUUAAAGUCAAGGUGGAGAUUAUUGUGAAAGUGCCUCAAAAAUUAAGAAAUUGGAAUUCUGGAAGCUGAACAUCGGUGGCCGAUUUGUAGGGCAUGGUGGCCGAUUUUGACCUGUUUUAUUUGAGCUUCAGGUUCGGAAAAAAUUGGUGGCCGAUUUUGAGCAUUCAGUGGCCGAUUUUGACAGCAGAAAAUAAAAUAGAAACGUAUUUUCGGGCCUAGAUUUGUUCCAGUUUAAUUGAGGAUUCUUUUACUAUAAAUAUAGACAUUGUAUUAGUGUAAACCUUGAGAUAGAGGGGGCUGAAACAAGGGUUUAGAAAGGCAACAACAAAACUAGGGUUUGUAUAGAGUUUGUCUCUUGGUAACAAACACUAGGGUUUGAGGGUUGAUUCAUCUUGGGAAACACUAUUAGGAUUGAGUCUCUUGGUUACCGGAAGAGAUUGGGACUUUGGGUAGAAUUAGACGGGAGAUUUAUUCUUGUAACCCAAUGAUAUCUCUUUUGUAAGGUUACUCAUCAUAUAGUGAAACAGAGAGCUGCUCUCUCCCCCAGACUAGGUGAAUUUGGACCGAACUGCUGGGUCAACAAAUACUUUUUUGUUCUCUCUUCUUUUCUCUCGUUGUUUUCUACUUUUGGCUUGUGUUUAUAAUUGUUCCAUACACUUUGUUUUUGUUGCAUGAUUAUUCCUUGCUUCACACAUCAAGCUUGUUAUUGGUGUGGGUUUUCAUCGAAUUCACAACAGCUCAGUUUGUUAGAGGAACCAGGAUAAUCGCUUGGGUCAACUCUCUCUCUCUCUCUCUCUCUCUCUCUCUCUCUCACUCUCUCUAAACCUUAAACCUUAAACCCUAAACCCUAGGUUGAUAGCUAAGAAAAAGGGGAGAUAUGUUCUUGAAGGAAAGGUUAUACCAAGAAGCAGCGUUGGGGAUAAGGUAUACAUAACUAGACUAUCAUUGACACCUUCAGAUACUAGAAUUCUUUUUAAAUUUUAACAUAGACAAUUUCCUAUAGUUGUACUUCAAAUAUGAUGUGUUAAAGAAAUUUUCUGAUAACAAGAAGCAGCGUUGGGGAAAGAUGUUUGCAUUGAUUGUACUUCAAGAAAAUCGGGUUUAAUAACGAGUACAUCAAGAAAAUCGGGUUUGAUAACGAGUACAUCAAGAAAAUUGGGUUUGAUACUCGUUAUGAUAACAAGAAGCAGCGUUGGGGAAAGGUGUUUGCAUUGAUUGUACUUCGAAUAUGAUGUAUAAAGAAAUUUUCUGAAAUGUGUAAACAUGAGAAACUUCAAAUAUAAUUGUAUUUAUUCUUAUAACAUUAAAAUUAUAAGUUGGGUAUGUGCUAUAUAAUUUUAUUUUUGUCUACUACAUUUACGAUGUAUAUGACCCGUGCGGUAGUCAGGUAAACGUUCUAGUAAGGUUUCUAAUCCCAAGGAGUUAAAAGCCAAGCAAGAAGUACCCAAAAAAAAAAAAAAUAAAAGAAGGAGAAGCCGCAUGGCACACAGAGUUAAAUUCUAGAAUAGUAACAGCAAAGAUCCAAUUUCCAUGAAUUUUACUUUUCUUGUCCAUUGAGUAAAGUGAUAGACAUUAUAUAGUUUGUUCUGAGGACAAGUUGCUUUAGUAGCAAAGAGGACAGGUAUAAAAAAUCUAUUAAAGUGAAGUGUGAGAUUUUUUUUUUAAGCAAGCAUAUUUACUUAUCUUGUUUAUUAGGUAAAGGUUUGAGAGCAUGAAAAACUAAAGCACUACCCUGAGCCCAUCAAUAUAUAACUAGACAUUUUGAUUUAUAAUUUCGUUAAGUUUGAAAGAUCAAUAUUCCUCAACCAUUAUUACAUUGAAUGAAUGAUGUCAUCCCAAACUACCCUUGAAGAAAAUAUUGUGGAGCUACAAAUAUACAUAGAUACAAAUCAAACACCCCAAAAUUCACGACCAAAGAUACAAAGGGUGCCACGGUAUGUCAAAAAUAGAACAAAAUUUAAGGAGCAUUACAGCCCCAAGUUUGUGUCAAUAGGUCCUAUCCAUCAUGGCAAUACAGAUCUAAAGUUAGGAGAGAAGUACAAGCUUAUGUGGGCAGCAAAAUACAUCAAAAACACUGGAAGCAUUCAAAAGGAUCUAUACAAAAAAAUUGCUGAUAACAUUGAUGAAUUGAAGGGCCAUUUUAGCGACGAUGUUUUAACUUUAACCGGCGAGUCUCUUGAAGGCUAUCAUAGCCUUGAAGAAAAGUUAUCAUGGAUGUUGUUCGUGGAUGGAUGUUCUUUGCUACAUAUCUUGGAGAAAACCAUGCUUUAUGAACCAGGGCACAUGAAUGUUAAGGUUGAUCAACUGGUUCUUGUGAUGAUGGAUGUGCUUUUGUUGGAGAAUCAACUUCCUUAUCAAGUACUCAAGCUAUUGUGGAAAGAUAGCAAUGAGAGUGAAUUGAUAAAAAUUAUGACGAAUUUCCUCGACUGUCAUCAUUGGGCCACACUAGAUAAUAAGAGAAGCCGGAGGUGGCAACUCAAUCAAGAUACAACAACAAUACCCGCUCAUCUUCUUGAUCUUCAGCGUAAUAUCAUCCUCAUUAAAUCUACACCCAAGGUAUAAUAGAAAUCUUAGAGACAAAAGUAAAGUUUGUUUCUAUUUUUUGUCUUAUUAAAACUAACGACAAAAUUUGAAACAGAUUUUGCCUUUUUCCGUUUCUAAAUUUGCUACGAUUAUUAUAAUUACCAAGUGGAGGAUAGUAAUUAGAGAGGAUUAAACUUAAACUAAAAUAAAAUAAUUAAUACUACUUAGAAAAGAUAAAAUAACACUAGUUUUAAAAUAUUUUUCUUUUUCCGUUUCUAAAUUUCAUCACUAUUUCAACUUUUCUUUUAUUAGUUUAAGUUUACCUAUAAUUAAUUUUCAACUUUUUGAAAGAAAAAAAAAACUGGCAUACUUUCUACUUUUGGUAUACUAACCUGUGGCCUUAAUGCACAUGUUACUAUCUUCCAUAUUUUAAUUACAAAGUGGAGGAUAGGGAUUAGAGAGGGGUGUGCAUAUAUAAUAGUGAUUAGAGGGUUAAACUAAAAUAACAUAAUAAUACUACGUAGAAAAGAUAAAAUAACAAUUGUUUUAAAAUAUUUUUUUCUUUACAAAAUGUGGUAUUUUAUUACUGUAAGACGAAUGAAAUUUUAAAAUUUUAUUGUUAUGAUCCAAUCCAUUUCUGUUUAAAACAUAGAUUGAAAACUAUAAAGCUAACAAGGAGAAUUGGAGAAUGAAGACGAUAUACAUGAACAUAAAAGAUCUAAAAGCACUAGGAAUAAGACUUAAGUCAAGCAAGACACGAAGGCCAAAAGACAUAGAUUUCACCGAAGGAUGGUUCACUGCAGAACUAACUCUUCCUGAGAUCGUUGUGGACGACACAUCAGCCACUACUUUCCUCAACCUGAUAGCAUAUGAGAUGUGUCCAAAUUUUGACAACGACUACGGAAUUUGUUCUUUUGUAGCUUUUAUGGACUCGCUCAUCGACCAUCCUGAAGAUGUGAAGGUACUGAGAUCAAAAGGAAUUUUGCUCAAUUCCCUUGGGAGUGAUGAGGAAGUUGCCGAACUUUUCAAUAUCAUAGGUACUGACUUGGUACCUAACCCAGAAACAUAUUUUGAAGUUAAAGCCAAAAUGAUUGAUCAUUACUAUAAAUACAGAACUGGGAUAGUGCGGGGUUAUUACACUUACUUCAGGAUUGCUGCAUUUAUCGCCAUUGCUCUUACUUUCAUUCAGACAGUGUUUACAGUUUACCCGGCAUUCAAAAAAGAUGGUUAGUUAUGACAAUGUUGUUUUCGUUAUGGCACUUCUCUAUGGAUUGUAUACCUUCAUGCGUCUUAAUGUUGAUUAUUUAACAUAUGUGGAGUGUUUUUUUUUUUUUUUUUUUUUGUGCUAUGUAUAAGAAUUGAAACAUGAAUUUUCAUAUUUCAACUUAAUUUAUUCAAAUUAUUAUUCUCAUAAACGAUCUACAUGUUUCUAUAUUGUUGAGAUUUUGUUUAGAUGAGUUAUUUAAUUUUGUGUUCAUUGACAUUUCAAUAAGUGAAUAGAUCGAAUGAGCUAAUAAAACAAGUAUAUUAAAAGUAUUACUAGACAUGGGAACAAACAAAUUAAAGUAUUGGUUACGAAACAACCUGACAACAAAAUUCAACUUAAAUCUAUUCACUAGUUAUGAAAAUGACAAACUUGAUGAAUCAUUUCUUCAUCAACUUCAGCACAACCUUCUUCACUUAGUUUUUUCUCUGUCUUUUCAUCGCUUACAGAAGAAAAAUGAUUAUAUAAUUCUAAUAUAUACCUCUCAUGGAAAAUUGUACAAAUAAUUCAUGAAUGCAAGAAAUGAUUUCACUACAAGAAAAUAUGUGAUUUGCACGCCCAUUUUCGCAGUUCAUUUCCAGCUGAUUUCUCGCGAACAAGUUUAGCUAGAGAUAUGCUGCAGAAUACCUAUUGAUUCGGCCGUAGCAUAGAUUGAGAGACAACAUUGCUAGGGAAGUAUUUCUUAUUACAUCCGUAGUAAAAAGAAACAAGUUCCUAGCAAAUAAUCAGUUGAUAUAUAGCAAAUAAGUAUUGAAAAAGUAUUUUCCAUAGCAACAUAACUAGGACAUAUCAUAGCAAUUUCGCAACAAAACCAUAGCUAUAAUCUAACUAAUUUGAAACAAACCAUAGCGACAUGACUAAAAUUUAUCGUAGCAAAUCCACAACAAAUCUAUAGCUAUAAUCUAACUAAUUUGCAAAUAAAACCUAGCAAUUUGGAAGUUUUCAUCCAAUUUUUUUUUUUUUGCUGUUUUUUUUUUUACUAUAUUAAUUUAAGAAAUUUAUUACUAAAUAAUAAUGUAUAUACAUAGCUAAACAUAACAAGCCAAAUUUGCAGAAAAUGCAAAGCUAAAAUAUCACCCUGAUUUUAAAUUAUAUUUUUAAUAAAUAAAAAAUCCAACAUUCCUAGUAAUAGAUGAUCCUCUUGCAUCCAUGAACGAAUUAUGCUCCCUUGAAUUCAGAACUGCCACAACCAUUUUGAACAUGAAAAAGGAUAAUGAAUUAAAAAUCCCCUCAUCAUUUUCUACUCUAGGAUACUGUGUUGGAAAUGACUGACUUCAACUCAUGGCAAUUCUCGUCUUUAGCUUCUGUCAAGAAAGAAGUGACCAUCAACUCUUAGAAGUGGAUAAUAUAUAAGAUCAUCAGACAUUAUUUGAAUACACUCCCAGGAAACAUUCACAAAGCCUGUUGAAGUCAAUCUUAUGUCAUCAAAUUAGACGAGAUGUGAUAACAGAUUAAAUGUAAAUGAAUCCCUCUCCAUUCUUAAUUCCAAUUUUUUGUGCUAAUACUUUAUAAGAAAGAUGUUAGCUAAAAUAGUUAGGCUUUGAAGAGAACGUUUAUGGUUGUCGCUCAUAUGAUAUCUAACAAAUAUUGAACUGGACUAAUAUUGAUGCUAUCAAAUCUUCAUGUGCAUAACGAAUUUGUGUUACUUUCAACAAACAGUGUAUGGUAGUCACAUGAUAGAAGAAAAAUCGUUGAUAGUGAGCACUUGUAUGGAUGUUAAAAAAGCUCACCUUUGCGGUCUCGUUUGGAUUUCCAUCUCUAUCACCUCCUAUCCAAAUUCUAAACUUUAUGGGAGUGCAAGUCAAUGGAAGUGGCUUUCCAGUAUGCUGCAAAAUGGAUAGAUUGUAUGACAAAAAAAAUUUAUAAAAAAAUUACAGCUAAUUGACCAAGAAUUCAAGAUGAUAGGUACCUUCUUUAAAGCAUUGCUGACACGACGUAAAUAAUGAGGAGCAACUUUCCAGAGUGACUGCUCCACUAUAUUCAAACUUGUGAGAAAUAAAAAUAAAACGAACAGUUCUUAAUCUUACACGCCAAAUUGUUAUUAUUUUCUUUUAAUGUGAACCAGAAGAGCUGAGAUAUCCAAUACUAGAUCCUGAAGCAACUUACCAGCUCUAGCUUCAUCAACUGGAGUGGUUUUUGGCGCCUAAGCUCAUCUGUCUGCCGUAUUGAAGUUAACUCGCUCACCUACCAAAUCGCAAUGACACAAGAGAAUAUAAGAAAUAUUUCCACUUAAUAAUUAAACAUGAAGUCUCUAUCCUCUCACAGUACGGUGGCUUUUUAGAGUGAAAAUACAGUAGAGAAGAAAUACUAGAUCCUCAAUCAGCAUCUAAGAUCAGGUCGAUCGUUAUAAUCCAAAGGAUGCUACAUGUUGAGAUGUGAAAGUAGUUACAGACAAAUACUUAUAUUAUCUUUGAAUUUGAAAACUUCAAUCCAUUGAAUUUUUUAAUGGCCAAACAAAGUAAAAUACUCAGCAAUCCAAAUGUGUUUGUACUGCAGUGUUUGUCGAUUACUUUGUGUGGGAUGAGCUUCUUCUAAAGACAUCUUUGACAACUCUGAAGCUAACUGCUUCUCAAUUAACUCAGCCAUGUUCACUAUACCUGCUUGCCUCAUAUUACAUCCACUCUGCCAGAAACAAAAAUAGAAACAUCAUUCACAAUUACACAAUUUUCACCUCUGUAGCAUCGACACUUCUAAUCAAAGGUGUGUCUGGUGUCUGUGUCAGUGCUUUGUAGAUUUUCACAUUUAGGGAAAAAAGUGAAACCCCAUAAAAGGAAACAGAGCAAUGUUUGCCAUCACGGAGGAAGUUAAAAAAUGGCGCCAACACUUGUUAGGCCGCCAUUUCAGAAUUUUCACCGAUCAAAAGAGUCUACGUAGCCUUAUGCCACAAACAAUCCAGACACCAACACAACAAAAGAGGCUUACCGAGCUUUUAGGAUUUUAUUUUGAAAUUCUCUACAUUCCAGGGAGAGACAAUAAUGAUGCACAGGCCCUUUUAGGCUUGAUUUUGAAACAGAGCAAGGCAUUCUAUACUACAAGGGUCUUAUUUAAAGCAGUGUAAAGGGGGAAGGGCAUAACCAUACAAACCAAGAGCAAGUGAAAGAUAUAAACCAGACAUAAAUGCACAUAGAAAUAUAGUUGACCAAAAAAUGUCAUAAAAAUGAAGUUAUUUAAUGGAGUAAAUUGUAAGGAAUGUUUAGCACAAAUAAGCUACAAAUAAGCUACUUAUCCAAACAGACCCUAACUCAAUAGUUCUCUAAAGUUUUAUGCACCAUAACAACAACUCAUUAGAUUGAAGAUCAUGGUGAUCAUCACAAUAACCUGAGCUACUAUUAGGGAAUUAACUAGAGUUGUGGACUGGCAUGGAUAGACCAUUCCGCUUGACUGUUCAAGUCAGGCCAGCUCAGCUCGUCUUCAGUCAACACUGGUGUGAUUGUUCAAGUCAGACCAGCCAGUUCAGCUCGUCUUCAGUCAACACUAGUUUGAUUGUUCAAGUCAGCCAGCUCAGCUCGUCUCAUCUUCACUUUAUACCACGUGUCAUGUACAGAUGAUCAGCGCGUCUCGACUCCACGCGCCUGGUACGGAUGAGUUGCACCCUAGUCCACGUGCGGCCAUACAGAAAGCAGACAACCAAUGGGAGGCUAUGGAUCACAACUUAAUGGGCUUUGAAUGAUCAAAGAAAGACCCAUUAGACCAACACUUUAAUGAACAUAAAAGGGGGACAAUUUUAUAGACUUAUCUUAGAUUGGCCAAUGUAAAAUUGUUCAUGGAACAGCCUCUCUAAUUGAGUCCAAUGUUGAAUGGAAUGUGGUUCAAGCGUGGUGAACCACGUAAAGACAUUUUUUGUUAGAGAAUUUGCAAAGAACUUCAAUCUCAAAUUCUCAUUGUUUGCAAUAUUUUCUUCAAAAUAUACAACUUUCCUCAUUUGGAGGAACUAAAAAAUUGUAAUGAAGAAGGGUUAUCGGGGCUUAGGAGGGUUUAUAUAAAUUCUUCAAAUUUAAUAUAAGUUGUUAUAAUAUUUUUAAAAUUAAAAAUAUAUUAAAUAUAAUCAUUAAUUUAUCACUCUUUAAUAAAAAUACUCUUUUAAAAGAUGUAAAAGAUUUUUCAAUUUUUCCCUAUAUUUCUAUCCCUCCAAAACCUUUCCUUCCCCUCCUCUUCUAACUCCCAAACAAAAUCUAAGUGUCUCUUAACCACAACGAUCAGAAGGAAGUUACUAAUCGAAAGAUGGAAGUACACAUAAUCUACCUUAAAUGACCCUCAACCACAAUGCUCACAGACAAUAGAUCUUAAGCCUGGCGUUUAAAUUGACAAGAUAUUUUGUGUAGUUUUUUUUUUGAUUAAUUGAUUGAUCUCACAAACAAUGUUAUUAAAAUUAAAGCCACUAACACAUUGCAGAGGAAUCAACUAAUUUCAAUAUAUAUAUAUAUAUAUAGGAUUGUAACUUACUUUCUUUUAAGAACAUCAAAGAGUGAGUUAAUUAGCAUACUCCCACUUGAGGAAUAAGUUAACAACCUUGAUAACUUACUUUUUUACCAAAAAAAAACCAACUUCUAUAAUUUAAACCAACUGUAAACGGGGCGGAGCGACCCCGCUAGUCCAGUCAUUACUAGAACUUUUAGCUUUUCCUGCGGAUUUUUGUGUAAAUUCCGCAGGAAACACAUUUCCUGCAGAUUUUGCGAAGGAUUUAGGUUAUCAGGUGAGAUAAUACCUUAGGAUUUUAAGAUCCGCAGGAAAGAUAUAUCCGUAUUAAAAUGUGAAAUUAUCUGCAGGAAAUGUGAAAUUAUUCACAGAAUAGCAGUAACAUUUUGUGAUAAAUUUUUUGCCUAGAUUCUAUAAAAUUCCUGACUCCGCCACUUACUGUAAAUGUAAUGAUUGUACAAAAUCAUGCACGUGUAACAUAUUUAUUAUUUAUAAACUUACAUGAAAAAACGUAAAUAUUUGUAUGUAUAAAAAAUACGAGACUCAUUAACGUCAUCUUUAUAUUUAAUAAUGAGAUCUUUAUUAUUCGGUAAUAUUUUGACAUAUUUCUAAUCUACCAUUUUAUAAUAUUUUAUAACAAUUAUUUCUUUGUUUCUAUCAUUAACAUAUUUUUUAACAUUAAUUUUUUCUUAUUUUUCAAUACAAGUAACAACCGCUCAGUAAUGCCAAGAAUCCCUCAGUAAUUCAAGGUAGAUUGGUCAUUUACAUUACUGACGGAAUUAUCUGUCAGUAAAGUUUUUGUCUAAGGUAUUGAGGGUUUAUUCCUUCAGUAGCGUUAUUGAGGGUUUAAAUGCCUCAGUAAUGCAAUUUUGAAUUGGUUAGUAAUUUGAGAAAUUCUUGUAGUGAUCGCAAAUAACUUUAUAAUGUUUUCUUUUUUUGACGCAUAAACGGUCUGUUGCAAGUUAUUAUAUAUUAAAACGUGAUGCUUAGCCCGUGGAAAAACGUUAACUAUGUUUCUUAUCCUAAAGAAUGAAAAUCCAAGGAAGAAUUAAAAGGAGAAGCCGCAUGGCACACAUGAUUAAAUUCUAGAACAGUAAAAGCAAAUAUCCCUUUUCCAUGAAUUUUACUUUUCUUCCCCAUUGAGUUAAGUGGUGGACGUGUAGUUCGUUCCGAGAACAAGUUACUUUAGCAGUGAAGAGGACAGGUAUAAAAAUCAUUUAAAGUGGAAGUGUAAUAUUUUAAGCAAGCAUAUUUACUUAUCUUGUUCAUUAGGUAAAGGUUUGAGAGCAUGAAAAUCUAAAGCACUACACUGAGCCCAUAUUAUAUUAUAUAUGCAUUAGGUAAAAGUUUCAACCAUUAUUAUAUUGAAUGAAUGAUGGCAUCCCAACCUACCCUUGUAAAAAAGGUUGUGGGGUUACAAAUGGAGCUACAAAGGUACAUAGAUACAAAUCCAACACCCGAAAGUUCACGACCAAAGAUACAAAGGGUGCAAGAGUAUCUCAGAAAUAGAGAAAAAUUUGAGAAGCAUUAGACCCCGAGGUUGAUGUCAAAAGGUCCUAUCCAUCAUGGCAAUAAAUCUCUAAAGUUAGGAGAGAAGUACAAGCUUAUGUGGGCAGCAAAAUACAUCAAAAACACUGGAAGCAUUCAGAGGGAUCUACACAAAAACAUUGUUGAUAACAUUGAUAAACUGAAGGGUCAUUUUGAUGACGAUGUUUUAACAUUGACCGGAAAUUCUCUCGAAGGCUUUGAUAGUCUUGAAGAAAAGCUAUCGUGGAUGUUGUUGGUGGAUGGAUGCUCUUUGCUUUAUAUCUUGGAGAAAGACAGGCUUGUUGAACCAGGGCCUAUGGAUAUUAAGGUUGAUCAACUAGCUAUUGUGAUGGUGGAUGUGCUUUUGUUAGAGAAUCAACUUCCUUAUGAAGUACUCGAGCUAUUGUGGAAAGAUAACAACAAGAGUGAAUUGAUAAAAAGCACGACGAAUUUCCUCGAGUGUCUCUGGGCCAGACCAGGUAAGUCACAGCCAGAGAAGGAGAAAGACGUGGUUCCAAAUGAGUCACAGUUAGAGAAGGAGGAUGACGAAGAAGGACAACACAAUGUAUCAAUACCAAAUGAAUCACAUUCGAAGACACCCACUCAUCUUCUUGAUCUUCAGCACAAAAUGAUCGCCACGGCAUCUAAACCCAAGGUAAAAUAGAAUCUAUUAACAAUUAACAAUAUAUAAAAAUCGUAGUCCAUUUAAAUUUUAUAAUUGUCUUUUUUAAAUUCAUGAUCUUUUUAAUUUUAUGUGUUUAAUGGUUAGUUUUAAAAAUAUAAAACUAAUUUGUGGCUUAAUUAUAACAAAAAUAAUUUAUUAUCCUCUCUUAUGCCUUAAAUAUAGAAAAAAUAGUUUUUUUUAACCUUUCUUAUGUCAUGGAUUUAGGAAAACAGUUUAUUCUUAUAUCUAUUAAUAUUUUAAUCUAACUAGUUUACAUAUAAAAUAGGCUAAACUACACUUUUCGUCCCCUAUGUUUCAAAAUCUUGCAAUUUUGGCCCCUUAUUAAAAAAAUGGCAAAAGUGAUAUUUUAAGAAAAAUCAUUAGUUUUCAAAAUUAAAGUUGAUAUUUUAAGAAAAAUCAUUAGUUUUCAAAAUUUUAUCAUAUCGACUUUCACCUAUUGGUACAUACAAUUUUUUUUAUAGGGAUGGUACAUACAAAUUUUCUUCCGUAGAUUUAAGCACGUAAAAUAUGCAAGGAGUGGGACAAAAAUAUUAAAUGUUGUUUCGCAUAUAAAAUAGAAUAUAUAUUUAAUAGAAACACUACAUCUAGUAAUAUAAUAAUAUUUCCAAAAAAAAUCUACUACUAAUAUAAUAAUAUAAUAAAAUUGCAAUCCAUCAAAAUUUCAUAGUUAUCCUUGGUUAAACUAAAUAUUCCCUAUAUCACUAAUUUUGUGGGCUUCACGAUCACUUUUCUAUUAAAUAUAAUAAGAAAAAACAAUGUAUUAUGACAUAAAUAUUGGAAAACAAUUUAUAUUCUCAUCUUUUUUAAUCUUUUAAUCUGACUAAUUUUUAUUUUUUUUAAAUAGAAACGCUAAAUUAAUGUUGAUAUUUUAAAAUAAUCAUUAGUUUUUAAAAUUUCAAAAAAGAAAAAAAAUUCAUAUCGGACAGAUAAAAAAAUUCUUAUAUCGGUACAUAAAAUUUGAUUUUUGGAGAUAUAAGCACAUAAAAUCUGCAAUGAAAGCAAUACAAAUAUUUUCUGGUGUUUUGUAUAAACAAUAAAAAAUACUUAAUAGAAACACUGCAUUAAUGUUGAUAUUUAAAAAUAGUCACGGAUUUUUUAAAUUUUAUCAUAUCGACUAUCGCAUAGCGGUACAUGAAAUUUUUCUUCUACAUAUACAAGCAUAUAAAAUCCUCAACGAGUGGGGUAUAAAUAUUUAAUGGUGUUUUAAAAAAAUUCAUGAGUUUUCAAAAAUUUAUUAUACUAACUUUCUCAUUUAUGUAUACAAAAAUUUGUUUCUGCAUAAGGAUGGCAAAUCGGACCCGCCUACCCCGUUUAGGCCCGUCAUAUCUAAGCCUGCUUAAAAAGGAACGAGACGAUCAAAGUCAAAUUAGGUGACCCGAGUCAAAAACUUCAACUCAGCCCAUCGAAAAUAGCUGGUUAAACGAACUGGUCCGAUGGGUUGGGCCCGUUUUCCCACCCCUAUUUCUGAAGGUGAGAAAAACACAAGAAAGGGGGGGUUGAAUUGUGUUGGCUUUUUCUACAUUUUCUCCUAAGCUGAAAACACUGAUCAGAAGCAGAUAAAGUUCUACUUCUGAAGUGAUGUUCAGGACUAGAUUGCAGCGGAAGUAGUCCUGUCCCCCUUGAACUUCCAAGGAGAGUUCACUAAAAUGUUAUAUCUGAUUACAACUGCUCACUGCUAAACUUAGCAAGAGACUUCAAAAUACUCAAGCACAACUGCAAGAGAUUUCCUAUGCUCCUGAACACAAUCAAAAGACUUCUAAUUCAAACAGAAUUACACAGAAAAUUGUUUGAGGUUGAACACUUGAAAUACAAUCAGUGGUGUUCACAAUACAAAUCAGAUACAAACUCUUAAGACUCUAGAAUUUCUAAGAUAUGAACUUUCAUAUGAAAUUCUAAGUGAACUUUUGUUGUAGAGUCUUGUCAUUCUCUAAGUCUUCACUCCUUUAUAUAGUGGUGUGAAAGAGACGUUGUGAAUUGCCAGCACAUCAAAAUAGAGUCGUUCAAGCUUUGAUCAAUCACCGAUGAUCUUUUGCCUGAUAUGGUUAUUGUCCUAUGAAGGAUCAAUUUCAAAUCCAUUCCAAGUAUGAAGGAACAAUGUUGCAGGCAGAGAUGUUAUACUUGUCUUGUAGCAGAGACACAAACUGAGUAGUGGAGGUAGUGGUUGUACACUUCAUACAAUUGUACUUUGUCAACGCUCUUCAAAGAACAAGCAUCCAAUGCCUUCAAAUCCUUUCAAAACAGUCGUUGCUUCACUCUUCUGGUCUUCUGCAAUGCUUAGAAGAGAUUAAAAUCAUUGAAUAACUUUUGAAGCUUUAAGUCUUGCAUCUCCUAAUGAACUUCAGCUUCUGAUGAUAUGCUUCUGAUGACAUCAUCACUUCAUGAGCACUUUGCUUCAGACGCUUCAAGCUUCUUUUAUGUUGAUUUCUUAACUCUCUUUUGUUCUUGCAAAACUCUUAAAGGGUAAUAUUAAACACAUUUUGUUCUAACAAUCUCCCCCUCUUUGAUUCUUUCUUCUUCAAGUUUAUCUUAUUUGGAGGACUUGUAUUCAAGCAGAAGUAGUUUCUGAUCUAGAAGUUCUUUCUUCAGCUGCUUGUUUUCUCUUUAUAGUGCAACAUUUCUUUGCAACAAGUCUAGUUCAGUAGAAGCUAAUUUGAAGUUAAUCUUGUUCAGCAAAGUCAAAUCCAAUUCCUUGGGAUGAAUUCAGUAGCAGUUCUAGCUUCUAGACACAAUGGUGUUCUCACAAGAGUCAACCUCUUCAACUUUACUGACAACCCCUUUUAGCCAGUCUUGAAGAUUGUUCUGAGCAGUGUCUUGAGCAUCCAAGCAUGAUCUCUGAAGUUCAGUCAAGACAAAAUCCACUCUCUCCUUCAAUCUUCUCCAAUUCUUCACAUAGUUGUCUUCAUGCACCAGAUUGUUCUUUGCCUGAACUAGCUUAAUCAGCUCCUAAAAGAGAUUCUCAUACAAAUCUGUUAGUAUAGAAGAAUCUAGAAACAGGGUGGGUGGAGAGGGUAUAUUUGUGGAUAUGGCAGGAGCACAAGCUUGAAUGGCUUGGCUGGAAGAUGAAGGUUGGUCAUUUGUGGAGGAUGCAGUUUGAAUAUUGGUCUCUGAAGGUUGAUCAGGAACAGAUGUUAAGACCAUAAAGUAUGAGUUAGAUUGCUCAACCUCAACAUCAGAAUCUUUAGAUGUGAUCAUAAAAUCAGGUUCGCUGACCUUUUUAGAAGAUGAAGGAGACUCAAUAUGAUCAGAAAGGGUUUGUUCAGGAACAAUUUGUUUAGGAACAAGGAUAUUUGGACAGGUGAUUGAGGCUAUUUGUAAGUUUGGUGCUUGUUGUUGGGGGCUUUCUACAGUAAUUUCCUCAGAAAUAACUCUAGAAGCUUUUUCUAGAUUGGGCUCAACACCUGGUAAUUCACCAGAGUAGUGACUGACCAGAUUCUCCAAAACAGACGGUUCUGAAGUAUGGGUGAUUGAAGUGGGAUGAGAUGACGAUGACUCAUUGAGAUUUGAAGACUCAACCUAUGAUUGGUGGUUUUAUCAUUGGUGGUUGAAAAGGAUGAUUUGCAGGUAGUCUUUCACAAACUUUGAUUCUCAUCUCAGACAUUUCUCCUAUGCUGUUUAGGAUAGAGAGAUACACAGACUCAUAGGAAAUCUUGUCAGCAUGCUUUUUAUGGAGUUUGGUGGAUGGUGAAAGACCUUUGUUUAAGGUUGUAUAGAUUCUGCCUAGAGGAACAUUAUCAUAGUCAGAUGAAGUUGAGGAGGAUGACAAUGUGGUUGACAGAGAAAGAGGUGGAACUAGAUUCUAUUUCUAUAACAGUAGCAUUAUGUGGAGAAUCAUGAUUACCUCUUGAAGCUUCUGAAUCACGAGCUUCUGAACAACCUGCAUGUUCCUUCAGAACUUCUUCAGCAAGAUCUUUCAACACUUCACAAGAUGCUACCAGUUGUUGAAGAUCCUCUGUAAGCUCAAUCCCCAGUUGAGCAGCUUCAACAGUUGAUUCUUUCAUUAGUUGCUCAGCAGGAACUUUAAUUUCCUUUGCUAACUCCAGGACCUUCUGAAGUGUAGCAGCAUCUUCAGCCUUCUGUAGUUCUCUUGCUUCUUAUCUCCCUUGUGACUAGAUAGUAGUAGCUUUUAUUUGAUCUUCUUCUUCCAUCACAUAGUUUGCUACUUUCAGCUUCCUGACUUCUUGAUUUAUUUUCUUUUUAGGAACUAAUUGAGCAGGUUGUGACUGUGAUUAAGAAAAGCCAACUAUCUUGCCACUUCUAGUUCUCUUAUUCAGCACCUUAUCAGCAUCAAGGUCCUGAACUUCUUCUAGGAUGGUUGGCACAUUUGAAUCAGUUGCUUUUUCCAUAGGAGCAACUUGAGCUUUCUUGGCUUUCUUUGCCUUCUUCUUUUGAGGAUCAGAAGCUUUCUCAUCAUCGUUAGCUUCCUUUUCUUCUUAGAAGCAACACGAAAAGCAACACCAUACAUGUUCUCUAGAACAUCUUCCAUCUUGAUGGCUUCUCCUAUUAACUCAAAAUGUUUCAUGAUGUAGUUUACUCUCACAUCCAGAGGGUCUUUCAUGCAUAUAAGAGGAAAGUCUUCCAUCAAGUUUGAUACAACAUCAGAUUCUUUCAAGUAUGUGUCCAGCUUCUUGUAAUCAUCUUUGCCAAUUAACUUCAUGUGCCUCAGAGUACUCCCAUUGAUUACUUUCCCUGUUACUGUACCAAGAUCUUUAUCAUAGAAGAUCUUUGUUUCACUCAAUGCUUCCAAAAUUCCUCCUUGAUGAAGGAUUUUAGAGAUUAGUCUUCCAUAGGGAAUCCAGACUCUGUUGAUUUUGGAACUGAACUUGAAGAAGCCAUUGAUGUUGAAGAAGUUUCAGGGUUCUAGGGUUCUGAGUGAGGAAGUUACGUUUUACUUCGCAGAGAAUAAGUUGUGAAAAGAAGAAAGUGUAGGUUGUGAAGUGAGUAGUGUGUGAUUUGUCUAAGUGUUUUGAGCAAAAACGUUUGCAAUUCAGAAGGGGACAAAUAAACACAUCAUUAAUGACAUUGGGGGCGCGAGAUAGUACAUUCAAAGCUGAAAUUCAUCAUUGCUCUCUUAAGUUAUACACCAAUACAAAUAAGCCAUGUCAGAAUAGAGUCGUUUGAGCUUUUAUCAAUCACCAAUAAUCUUUUGCCUGAUAUGGUUAUUGUCCUAUGAAGGAUCAAUUUCAAAUCCAUUCCAAGUAUGAAGGAACAAUGUUGCAGGCAGAGCUGUUAUUCUUGUCUUGUAGCAGAGACACAAACUGAGUAGUUGAGGUACUGGUUGUACACUUCGUACAAUUGUACUUUGUCAACGCUCUUCAAAGAACAAGCAUCCAAUGCCUUCAAAUCAUUUUGAAAUAGUCGUUGCUUCACUCUUCUGGUCUUCUGCAAUGCUUAGACGAGAUUAAAUCCAUUGAACAACUUUUGAAGCUUUAAGUCUUGCAUCUCUUGAUGAACUUCAGCUUCUGGUGAUCUUCAGCUUCUGAUGAACUUGCUUAUGAUGACGUCAUCACUUCAAGAGCACUUCUCUUCAAACGAUUCAAGCUUCCUUUUUGUUGAUUCCUUAACUCUCUUUUGUUCUUCCAGAACCUAAUAAAGAUACCAAAUUUUUGUCUAUGGUUCUGUACAUUUGAACAAAUAUUAGCAUAUCCAAUUAACAAUUUUUAAUAUCUUGUUAUCAUCAAAACUCUUAAAGGGUAAUGUUAAACACAUUUUGUUCCAACAAUCUCCCCCAUUAGUAUUUAAAAUGUGCAAUUGUUGUUAAUCUAAUUAACAAGUUGACUGUAAGGGUUUGAGGUUUGUAAUCUCCCCCUAAGUCGAAUAGUACUUUAAGGUGAGGUUUGUAAGCUCCCCCUGAGUUUUAUCCAAGUUAAUUAAAUUCAUCAUUAGAAACAAAAUACACUCAGAAUAAUCUCACAUUAAUAGAUUAGAAGAUAAAAAGAAUGUCCUAUUAAUUUAACUUGAUUAAAAUUAAAUUAAUGGGGCUCAGAGCCUAUAAAUACUAUACAUAUACUCCCCCUUUUGUCAUCAACAAAAAGUAUAAAAACUAAAGAGAAAAAGAAAGGGAUGAGAAAAACAUAGUGAGAAAUUCUAAUAAAAACAUUUCACAAGCAAAAUAUUAGUUCAGUAGCACAAAAACUGUUCAGAAGCACAUAAUCAUUGAUCAGAAACAGUAAUUCAGAAGUAUAUAAACAUAAGUUCUGAAGCAGAAACAUGCAAAGAUACAGACAAAAGAAAUAAACAAGUAAAUGGUGUGCAACUAAGGCUUGGCUUGGUUUUGAAACAUAUAGUUGAAUCUUUUGAAACAUAUGGUAAUCACUUUUUUAAAUAAAUAGUUUAGUUUGUUUGGAUACAACUAUAUAAAAGGAUUUUUUGUUACAAAAUUAGUUCAAUCUUUUGAAUCAUAUUUUCUCUCUCUAAAAAAAUCUAUUUUUUGAUAAGCUUCUCCUAACAGCUUCUUAAAGCCCCGUUUCUUAUAGUUUUUUUUUCAUGAAAAAAAUCAAUUUUUAAAAAAAAAAUAAUCACUUUUAAGAAUUUUCAUCCGUUUGUUACAUAAUUUUAAAAAAAUCAUAAUCUAAAAAAAAUUUAAAAACAGUUCAAAUGAAAAGCUAUUAAGAGCAGCUUCUCAAAAAAAUAUAUUUUUUUGAGGAAAGGGAAAAUAUGGUUUAAAAGAUUGUUCUAAUUUUGUAACAAAAAAUCUCUUUUAUAUAGUUGUAUCAAACAAAGUAAAUUAUUUGUUUAAAAAAAGUGAUUUUUAUUGUGGUAAACAAACGUAAAAUAGAUUCUGAUUUUUUAUUAAAUCUCUAAAAUAUAAUCUCUUAAUGAUUUUAUGUGAAAAUCAAUUUUAUUUUAGUCCGUAACAAACAUACCCUUAUUUGAAGUUGUUUUUAGAUAUUUUUGAGAUUCUGAUUUAAAAAAAGAAAAACUAUAAUAAAAGGAUGCAAUAUUUUUAAUAGUGAUUUUUUUCUUAAAAUUUUUUAACAAACGGGCUCAAAAUAAAAAGUUACUUAUUAAAAUAGUCAUGAGUUUCCAAAAUUUUAUCAUAUCAUCUUUCUUCAAUAUGUAUAUAAAUUUUUUUUUAUUCAUAUAUAGCACAUAAAAAUCUACAGCAUGUACAAAUACAAACAUUCAACGGUGUUUUGCGAAGAAAAUAAAAUUUAUUUAAUAGAAAAAUAACCACAUUAAUUUUUAUAUUUUAAAAAUAUUUACGAUUUUCAAAAUUUAAUCGUAUAUAUAUUGACUACAUAAACAUUUAUUUUCACAUAAAAAUUUCAAUGGAUUUGAAAUUAAAAUAUUAAUUUUUUUAAAAAAAUAUUUCUUGAUUUUGAAUCCUAUGUCCGAUGCCACUCCUUAGCAUUUACCUUUUUUUUGGGGGGUUAUAACACUUUUUUUUUUUUUUAAAUAUUUUUCUUUGCAAAUGUGAUAAUUAUUACUGUACACAGGAAGUAUAAUUAUGAAUUUUUUUUACUAUCUUAAUAGUAAGAUGAUCCAAUCCAUUUCUGAUAAAAACAUGUAGACUAAAAGCAAUGAAACUGCCGACAUGAAAGGGAGUCAGGAGAAGAAUAAGUUCGAGAUGAUUACAUAUAGGAACAUACAAGAUCUAAAAGCAGUAGGAAUAAGACUUAAGUCAAGCAAGACACAAAGCCCAAGAGACAUGGAUUUCUGCGAAGGAUGGUUCGCUGCGACACUGACUCUACCUGAGAUCGUUGUGGACGACACAUUAGCCUUUACUUAUCUCAAUCUGAUAGCAUAUGAGAUGUGUCCCGAUUUUAAGAACGACUACGUAAUUUGUUCUUAUGUAGCUUUCAUGGAGUCACUCAUUGACCAUCCUGAAGAUGUGAAGGAAUUGAGAUCAAAACGGAUUUUGCUCAAUUGCCUUGGGAGUGAUGAGGAAGUUGCCAAACUUUUCAAUAUCAUAGGCACUGACUUGACGACUAACAUAGACACAUAUUAUGAUGUUAGAUGCAAAAUAAAUAAGCAUUAUAGUAACAGAUACAAGACUUGGAUAGCGAAGGGUUUUGAGAAUCAUUUCAGCAGUCCUUGGACCAUUAUUGCAUUCAGUGCUGCGUCUAUCGCCCUUGUUCUUACUCUCAUUCAGACAUUGUUUACGAUUCACCCGGCUUGCAAAUAAAGGAGAUUCCCUAUGACAAUGUUGUUUUCCGUUAUGGCACUCAUCAUACUUCUCUGGAAUUUUAAUAGGUUGAGUUUUUUUAAUGAAUAAAUUUUAGGUUAAGUUUGUGUGUACGUCGUCAUGACUAUGAGUACUCAAAAAUAAAGAGUGCCUUUUUCUGUGUUGUGUGUUGAAUUGAAACAUGAAUAAAUUAAUAUUCUCAUUGAUGAUCUAUGUGUUACUAUAUUGUUGCGAUAAUACUGAUUUUGUUUAGAUGAGUUGUUUAAUAUUGUAUUCAUCGACAUCGUAAUAAGUGAAUAGACCAAAUGAGUUAAUGGGCCCGUUUGUUAUAAAAAAAAUUUAAAAUAUAUUUUUGUUAUAAUUUUUUUAACAAUUAAAUUUUCAAGAAAAACUUCAAUUGAAAAAUUCGUUUGAAUAGAUUAUUUUAAAAUGUCAUUCUAUGUAAUUCAUCAUUUUGUUACAAAUUUUUUUGCAUAAUAAAAUUUUGAAAAAAAAAUGUCUAAAAUAAAAGCUAUUUCAAAUAGCUUUUCAUAGAAAUCAUUUUUGAAAGAUGUCAUGUUGAUAAAAUAUACGAUUUUUACUAUGUAAAAUCUGAAACAAUUAAUAUUUAAAUUAGUGAAUGUCCCAAUCUCUUUUUUAACUUAUACCAAAUGAGUUUAAAAUUAUUUCUACUAUUUUUGAUGAAAUUUCCAAAACAUCCAUUUUUAGAAAUAAAAAAAGAAAUCUAUUUUUUUUUUAAAUCCAAAACAAACGGUCCCAAUAAGACAAGCAAUUAAUCGCUUUAGUCUUUGAAUUUGUAAGGAGUUGUGAGAAAAGUCUCUAAAUGCAGCGAAAUUGAAAAACAAAAUAUAAACUCUGUUACUCGAUUUAGUCCCUAACAUUAAAUAGGUAUGUUAAUGAUGACAUGAUAUCUAAUGAGGCAAUAUAACAACUGCGACGUAAGAUUGUGACAUAGCAAAGCUUAAACACGUGGCAAGGACUAAAAUAAAGAAAUAAAGAAUAUAUUAAUAAUUAAGGGAAUUUCUAUGGUACACUCGCAAAUUAAGGUGUACCGAUACUCUCGUUUACAUUUUUAUAAAUUAAUUAUCAUUUUUUUAUGAAAGAAAUAGGUGUUUGUUGACAUAUAUAUUUUAGAAAAUAUCAUUUUAUAAGAAAAAACAUCAUUUCAUUUUUUAGAAAAAUCAUACUAAAUUUUUCUACAUUUUAUUGUAAAAAAUAAUCAAAAUUCUCUAUUAUGAGUAAUAGGAAUUCAGAAAAAUCAAAUUUUAUUGUGUUGACGUUUUUGGUAAAUAAGAUUUAGUUAUUAUAAUUAUAGGUGAUAGAAUUUUUUUUUCUACAAAAAAUGACUCAUUUAACUAUUAAUUUAAGGAUUUGGUGUACCAAUACACUUAAAUUGUUGGGUGUACCAUAGAAUUCGCCAAAAUAUUAAACCUAAAUUUGAUAAAUAGAAUGGUCAUUUUAGUUCCUUAUUUAUGACUAUACUUUCAUUAUGCUCCCUGAGUAAUAAAAAAAAUGGGCAUAGUAGCCUCUGAUUUAUGACUAUAUAUAAUUUAAUUAUGGUCAUGAGCUUCCAAAUACCAAUUUGAAGCAAUCUAUCAAUGCAAUUGAAAUCAAAUAUUUGUUACAAAACAUGUCUUUCCUAGCAAAUACCAUAGAUAAUACUCAUUAAUAAUCUAAACACGAAGUAAAAUCCAAACACCAAAUUACAUAGAUUCAUAGGAAAAUAUAAAUUACGGAAAGACAUUCAUCUUGAAAAAAAUCAUUCAUUUUCAUGCUCAUGCUUCCUCUAACGCCAUGACCAUAACCACUACAUCUAUUCAUGUUGUGACCUUCAAGAUCACAGCUUGGGCAAUGCAAGGUUUAGUAUGCCUUCUUAAUUUUUGUUCUUUUAGAAGAUGUUCCUUCGUCAUUUAUAUAUUUUCUUCUUGUUUUUUUGGGCCUUCCUGGACGCUUCCUGAUUGGUGCGGGAACCGUUCUGAAAUAGUCAGUUGGUUUCCAAUAUUCUUGACCUUCAGUAGGUCUGACACAAAAGUUGUAUUUUGCUUCCAAUGUGAGUCAUCCAUGAUAAUAAUCUUCUGAUUUUUCCCGAAUCCAUGCAAUGGCUGAACAUGCAUGUUCACAUGGCAUGCCUAAACAAAAUUAAUAAAAAAUAAAAUAUGUGUUAUGCUUAUAAUUUCUAGUCAAACAUAGAUGAAAUUAUUUAAAUUAAAGUUGUAUUGUUUGAUAGAAUGUGAGAUGUGGCAAAUUAUUUAAAUUAAUUUUGUAUACUAUAACGACAGAAACCAUUUGAAUCAUAUUAUUUUGUUUGAUUCAUAGGUUUGAAAGGUAGCAAACCAUGCACAACUCCUUUGACUGUAAGUUAAUUUUUGAUUAAUUCUUAUCUCACUCAACAAGAUUUUUUUUUUAAUGUUACAUUACAUCCCCAAUAUAUAAGAGUCAAUUUUGUAGCUUUGUGCUCUCAUCAUACCACAGUCACACAUAAAGGAGCAAAACAAAUAAAUUAUAUGAUACUCUUUGGUCUCAUAAUUCAUUUUGCCUGAACCUUAUACAUGAGAAUUCCAAGCAUUUGAAACUUGAAACUGAAAUUCCAAGCUUUAUCUAAUAAGACAAGUAUAUAUUAUAGGGUGGGUAUUCACAAACAUGACAACAUCACAAAGUAUUCUUUUUGUAAAAAAAAAACGCAUAAAUUUUUUUUUUUUGGAAUGAAAAACGCAUAAUGUAUUUGUUUACGAAAUAUCCUAACAACAAAAUUCAACUCAAAUCUAAUCGCUAGCUAUGAAAAUACAUACUUGAUGAAUAAUUUCUUUAUCAACUUCAACACAAGUAUUUUUAUUUUUUUUUCAAGGAAACUUCAGGAUGAGCUUCACUUGGUUUUUUUUUUUCUUUUUUUUUCUGUCUUUUCCUCGAUCACAAAGAAAAAUUAUUAUAUAAUUAUUCUAGACUCGCAUAUAUACCUUUGGUCGAAAAUUGUUUCAAUGACUCAUGAAUGGAACAAAUGAUUUGUUUAUCAAAAUUAUUUAAGUAUGAUACAUGUUAAAAAAUUUUGAUAGCUAGUUACACACGAUAGUUAUUAGAUUAAAGAAUCUUCUAGAUCUUCAAUAUAUAUCCAUUUUUUUCAACUCGUUUCCGCAUCAUAAUAAAUCCGGGAUAACCCAAAGAGUCUUGCCAACGAUAUAUUUAAUACAAUUUGUAAAUUUCUGGUUUACAAUAAUAUAUGUUUCCACUCCUUAAAAAAAAUAAUAUGUGCUUCCAUUGCACUAAUAAUAUAAUAUGUAAACUUCAGGUUUACAAUAAUAUGUGAUUCAAUUGCACUAAUAUAAGUGUAGUAUAAAUCAAGAGAUAAAGAUAUAUAUUUUUCACUACACUUAUUUUCUUCAGAGUAUAUCUCUUAACAUAAAGAUAAUUAACAUUUUUUUUUCUUCUAUAUGAUAUGAAUUUAGAAUGAUAUACUUGAAACGGAAUAAAUUUUUAUGAAAUUAGUUUCAUAUAAUGCUCUACUGGAUAUCAUAUAAUGCAUUCUCAAUGCGUAAUUCUAUUACUCUGUAUAACAAUAUAUUUUCUCUUCUGGAACCUUCAAUAUUUUUUAUUUAUUUUUUAGCAUCAAAUGUAAUAAUAAAAUUAGUUUCUUUGUAUCACUCAUCUAAACAUUUUUAUAUUCUUUUGCAUAAGAAAUCUUUCAAACAACAUCCAACAAAAUAUACCUAAAAUUAUUGUGCUCCUUAGUGAAUCCAAAUUCUAGGAGCAAUACUUGCUCGAAACUUCGAAAUAGUUUAUGCAUACUUUUUAGAAGGAAUUUAAAAUACAAAUCUAAUUUACAGUGAUUCUGUCAACUAACAAGAAUUCCAUUUCAAAACAAUAUAGUUCGUAAAUCUCAAUUGUUUCAAAAAUAGCAAUAAUAUCAAAUUCAUAAGCACGGUACCUACUAUUUCCUUAGAAAAAGAAAUUAUGUGGAUCACAAAUGAGUGUUGAAUGUGCACAAAGAUGAUAUAGAUGACAAUACCUCUUAUUUAUAUGUCUUGUGAGAACUAGGCAUGGCAAUGGGGAGGGGUGGGGACGGGUUUUACCUUCCCCAUCCCCAUACCCGAUUCUCAUAUACUUACCCGCUACCCUACCCAUACUCAACGGGGAUGAGAAAUUGAAUCCUAUCCCCGUCCCCGACGGGUUCGGGUAUCCCCGCCCCAUCCCCGUCCCCGCAUUGAAUAAUUUUUUUAAUAAAAAAUAUAAGUUUUUUUGCAUCCCGUAGAUCAACAAUAAGCUCACUUUCACAUUUGUUAGACAAAAUUAUUUAGUUGAUCCUUUAAAUAUAAAUGGUAGUUUUUAUUAACAUGACAAUUAUCAAACAAAAUAACAUAACAUAUCAACAUAAAGUAGUUUUUUACAUUUGGGACGGGUUGGGGUAUGGGUUCGGGGUGGGUACCUAUAUACCCGUUACCCGUCCCAUACCCGUGUUUCGAGAUCGGGGAAAACCCAUACUCAUACCCAAACCCAGUCAAAACGGGAAAAAUCCGUCAAAUUGGGUUUGGUUCGGGCGGGUAACCACGGAUAUGGGUUUUGUUGCCAUGCCUAAUGAGAACUCAUUAGUAGCAAAAAUCAUAAUCAUCAUAAGUCAUAAAAAACUUUUGCAAUCUUCACGUGUAUCAUAUUAAUGAUAAUCUCUGUUAUAUCAAUUCUUGACAUUAUUUUCCCAAUUUUGCUACUUUGGGAGCAUAUUCAAUUGACAAUAUUUUUUUUUGUUCAACUUAUACUAAGAUCAAAUAGAUCUGGUUCUUUGAGAACUCAUCCACAAACCUCUAUCGACAAUGACAAAGGAAAAUCAUGAUAUUUUUAUUUUGCAAUAUUUCACAAAUGCUUGAUGGUAAAUUAUCAGUUCUUCUAGAACCAUAUCUCAAAUCUUCAUAAUAAAUAAAAUUCAUUCUUUGAGGAAUCCUUCAGAGAUGCAAUUUAAUAUUAAAUUUUAGUUCUUCAGAACUAUCUCUCAAAUCUUCAUAAAGAAUGAUCGAGAAAAUUCCUUGUUUGAGCGAUCCUUCAAAGAUUCUUUAAUAUUACAAGAAAAUUAGUUCUUCAAGAACUAUAUUACAUGUGAUCUUCAUAUCAAGAAAAAUUCUUUCCUUGCACAAUCUUUCAGGAAUACUUAAUAUUAAAUUAUUCAAAAACUUCUUAUGAUUUCAAUCUUAAAGGAACUAUAUUACUAGAAUUUUUUUCCCGAAAUAUUAAGAGCCUCAAAAUCAAGUUUUGUAAGGUUCGACAUAAUGAGUACUAUAAUAAAAGUUUAAACAAGUUCGAUAAUAUAAAAAGUAAUUGGAUAAAAUUUGAGUUAAUCAUUUCUAACUCGGCCGGCCUCAAUUGAAGAAUAUAGGGAAAAUUAAAGUAUUGAUACUGAUCACCAACUAGUUUUCCAAAUACAAGGAACCUAUGAGUGUAACAUUGUUGAAUAAUUCAUACAAAAUUUGGAGUUUGAUUGACCAUACGCACACUCCCAUUGAGUCUCUAACUAGUAUAAAACCGGUUAACUUCCUAUGUCUUAUGCACCAACACUAAUAUUAAUAUCACUUCUUAAAAUGGCUAAUUCUUUUUUCUUGUCCUUACUAGUGGUAUUCCACGCUGCUCUUAUGCUUGUCCCAUUGAGUUUUUUUUUUUUUUUUUUUUUUUUAAAAUUGCUAUGGCCGUUAAGUGUCGAUAAAACCUCGGCAAAUAACUACCGCUGGUUAGGUUCCACGACAAUUAACUAUCAAUGGGGACAUUUUGAUCAUUUACGAGUAUUUUCAAUCUUAUUAAGUGUGUGAACAUCAAUUUUCAUGAUGCUUAGCCCGUGGAAAAACGUUAAUAAAGUUUCAAGAGAAAUUCUUAGAUGGGAAUGUAAGUAACAUGUCAGUAUUUACAAACAACCAAUAAAACAUUACACCUCAUUUAAUUUAUUAAAAAAAUAAAAAAUAAAAUAAAGAUGAAACAUGUCCUCCUUAUUGCUUGCUCUUCUUCCGCCAUUAUUUUUUUGAGGAAUUAAUACUGACACAGUUAAAUUAAAUUCGCCAAGAUCCUGUUUCCGAGAAUUUUACUUUUCUUGUACAUUGAGUAAAGUGAUGGACAUUAUAUAUUUGUUCUGAGGACAAGUUACUUUAGUAACAAAGAGGACAGGUAUAAAAAAUAUAUUAAGCAAGCAUAUUUAGUUAUCUUGUUCAUUAGGUAAAGGUUUGAGAAUGAAAAACUAAAGCACUACGCUGAGCCCAUAUUAUAUAAUACUAUAUAAAACGCAUUUUGAUUUAUAUUCCUCAACCAUUAUUAUAUUGAAUGAAUGAUGGCAUCCCAAACUAUUAAAGAAAAAUUUGUCGAGUUAAAAAAUUCAAAGCAAACACCUCCAAAUGCACGACCAAAGAUACAAAGGGUGCAAGAGUAUCUCAGAAGUAGAAAAAACUUUGAGCAGCAUUACUCACCCAAGUUAGUGUCGAUAGGUCCUAUCCAUCAUGACAAUCCAACUCUGAAGUUAGGAGAGAAGUACAAGCUUAUGUGGGCAGCAAAAUACAUAGAAAACACCGGACUUAUUCCAGAGGAACUACACAAAAAGAUUGCAGAUAACAUUGAUGAACUGAAGGGUCGUUUUAGCGAUGAUGUUUUAACUCUAACCGGAAACUCUCUUCAAGGCUUUGAGUGCCUUGAUGAAAAGCUGUCGUGGAUAUUGUUCAUGGAUGGAUGUUCUUUGCUCCAUAUCUUGGAUAACAUUAUGUACCUACUGCCGAUGAAUAUUAAGGUUGAUCAACUGGCUCUUGUGAGGGAGGAUGUGCUUUUGUUGGAGAAUCAACUGCCUUAUGAAGUACUCAAGCUUUUGUGGAAAGAUGAAGAUGAGAGUGGAUUAAUAAAAAGCAUGAGGAGUUUUCACAACUGUAUUUAUUUUGUAGGGUCAGAGGCAGAGAAAGAGAAGGAGGGAAAUGGAGAACAUAGUGUAUCAAUACCAAAUGAGUCACAGUCAGAAACACCCACACAUCUUCUUGAUCUUCAACGUAAAAUCAUCCUCACCACAUCUAAUUCCAAGGUACAUUAGAAUUAACAAUAAAAUGUACUAAAAUAAAUUGAAAUAACAAAAGAAAUUAGAGACAAAAAAUAUUUGGUUACACAAUUAGAAAGGGAGUUUGUCUUUGUUCGGUUUCUAAAUAAUCUUUCCUUUGCAAAAUAUAUUUAUUAUUGUAUAGAGGAAGUAUAAUUUUGAAUUUUUUUUAUCAUCAUAUGAUCCAAUCCAUUUCUGAUUAAACAUAGAAAAAAAUCAAUGAAGCUAAAAUCAGAGAAUGGAGAUGGAAGAAUUCCGAGGAAAACAUCCCGAUUACAUACAGGGGCAUAGAAGAUCUAAGAGCAGUAGGAAUAAGACUUAAGGCAAGCGCAACAGGGAGGCCAACAGACGUAGAUUUCACUGCAGGAUGGUUUACUGCAAAACUGACUAUUCCUGUAAUCUAUGUGAACAACCUUGCAGCCUCUACUUUACUCAACCUGAUAGCAUAUGAGAUGUGUCCAGAUUUUGACAACGACUGUGGGAUCUGUUCUUAUGUAGCUUUGAUGGACUCACUCAUCGACCAUCCGGAAGAUGUGAAGGUAUUGAGAUCAAAAGGGAUUUUGUGCACGGUUUGGAGUGAUGAGGAAGUUGCCAGUCUUUUCAAUAUCAUAGGUACUGACUUGGUAGCUAACAUAGACAAAUAUUUUUAUGUCCAACUGAAAUUACGUGAGCAUUACUUUAAUAAAUACAAGACUUGGAUAGCGCUGGGUUUUCGUACUUACUUAAACAAUCCUUGGGCCGUUAUUGCCUUCCUUGCUGCUUUUACUGCCCUUGCUCUUACUUUCAUUCAGACAUGGUUUACAGUUCACCCGGCUAACAAAUAAAGGUGCUUCGUUAUGACAAUGUUGUUUUCGUUAUGGCAUUCAUCACUUCUCUGUGGAUUUUUAAUAGGUUGAGUUUUUUAUAUGAAUAAAUUUUAGGUUAAGUUUGUGUGUACGUCGCCAUGACUAUGAGUACUAAUAAAUAAAUAGUGACUUUUUCUUUGUGCUGAGCGUUUCAAUUGAAAACAUGAAUAAAUUAAUAUUCUCAUUGAUGAUCUACUGUUACUCUAUUGGUGCGAUUAUUUUGAUUUUGUUAGAUGAGUUAUUUAAUAUUGUGUUUAUCGACAUUGCAAUAAGUGACUAGACCAAAUGAGUUAAUAAGACAAUUAUAUAUUAUAGGGUAUUCAUAGACAUGACAACACACAAAGUAUACUCGUUUAGGAAAUAAGCUAACAACAAAAUUCAACUCAAAUCUAAUCACUACAAGUUAUAAAAAUGAUAAUAUUUUUAGGUUAAAUAUGUUUUUGGUCCGUAUAAAUAUAUAAACUAUUCUGCAAAAUUUUGUUAAAAUAUAAAUUCUAUGGAUUCAGAGUCGAAGAAUUAUUUUACAGAGACUAAAACGAAAAGUUUGUAUAUUUACAAGAAACAAAAACAUAUAUAUUUAAGCAUUUCAUUAUCAACUUCCGCAAAGAGGUUUUUUUUUUGUUAAAUAUGUUUUUGAUUCCUAUAAAAAUACCAACUUUUUUACUUUGGUCCCUCUAAAAUUUUCCUUCGACAUUUAGUCAUUAUAAAAUUUUCAAUCACACCUUUUGGUCCCUAUUUUAAAAUCAACUCAUGUUUUUUUAAUGAAAUUGUGCAAAAAUGUGUAAAAUAUUGUAAAAAUCUCUUCCAAUUAUUUUUUUAACAAAACAUGAAACAAAUAUGAAUUUUAAACCAUAAAAAAUUCAUAUUUAAUUCAUGUUUUGUUAAAAAAUUAUAACUUUUUUUUAGAGAAAUGCUUAUAAUAUUAUAAACUUUUAUGCAAAAUUUCAUUCAAAAAUAUGAAUUAUACAUACGAGUUUACUUAAAAUGAGGGAUAAAAAAUGAAGAUGGAAAACUUUUGGGAGACUAUAAAGAUCGACGAAAAGUUUUAGAGAGACUAAAACGAAAAGUUGAUAUAUUUAUUGGGACCAAAAAUAUAUUUAACCCUUUUUUUUUUUACCGAAACUUUGGCACAAGCUUCUUCACUGUAUGAUUAUAUAAUUCUAGACUCACACAUAUACUUAAUGACACGUCAUCUUACGUUAUUCUUAGCAUAUUUUUCAAUCAUUUUUAGUAGGUUUUACCAGUAUAACAGAAGAGUAUUUAGAACAAUUGCCUAUGAGUUCGAGACAUUUGUAAUGUUUUCUAUAUUUGAAUCUGUAAUUCUAUUCUUCCUGAAACAUAGCAAUUCUAGGGUGUUUUCUAUAUCAAAUGCAAUGACAACUCCAAAUCUUCUUUUGGUUUGGUCGUUGCAAAAUCUCAAAGUUGAUGAUCACGCUAAAUUCUCUUUUAGUUUGAUCAUCGCAAAUUUAAAUAUGAAUACAAUCAAACUCCCGUAAUAAGUUUUUGCACAAUCAAUUUAUUUUUGCUCGCAUUUAUCACAACAAAACAUUUACCUUAAAUUCAACAAAAAAUCAUUUUAUGACCCAAAACUGCGUAGCUGUGAAUUUUCAAUCGCACUCAUAGACACGUCCAAGCAAUAUACCACUUUUGUCAAGCACAAUAAUAACAAAAAUAUUCCCUCAGUUUAAAACCAAACCAUUUUCAUUUAAAAAUCAUAUUUUAAUUCGCAUUUAAUGAUAAGAAGAAAUAAAUAUUUUUGAAGUUAACAAAAUCAUGCACAAGCGAUUCUCCAUUAGGCUUAUUUAACUUCUUAGAAACAAACAAUUUUUUUGUUUUAAAGUAUUUUUCCAACGUUUUCCCUAUUUUAAUAAACAUCGCUUGCAACUUCAUUGUACUUCAUGCAAUCCUCGAAUUUUUAGACCGCUACACCUACUUAUACUAAUCCAUGAGACUACUUUUUAACCUUUAUGUUACCCUGUUAAGGGAAUUACUAUUACGAGUAAUCAUAACUCAUUCAUAAAAUAUACAAGACUAUAUAAUAAAAGAGUCUUAUUAAUCAAAGUCCCCGGGACACUAGUUAAGAAAACAAAAAAGUAAAUAUUUACAUUGAAAACAUCAUUCUUUACACUUCUUAAACUUUGAUUAUACAAAUUCAAAGCAUAUACUAUAUUUGGUUCAGUUAACAUUUUCCAUUAUAAAAUUGCAACACAUAUUAUUAUCUUAUUCAUUUUACUUGCUAUAGAAACUUGAGUGUACAGUCUAGAGUAACCCCUCUUCUGACAUAGCAAGCCAGAAACACUUACAAAUGCAUGUCUUGUUACCAACAGGUCCGUCCAGAGUAUACCGUUUGCAUCUAUCACACACAACUACAUGUUGAAUACAAGCAAUUUUAAGACUCCAUCAGCCAACAACUUAGGGGUAAUUGUUUUGGACUAAGCCAAGCCAAGGCCCAUAUACCCUUGCGGACUGGGUCCACCCCCUCCCUUGCUUAACGCGUGAACGAACCAUAAUGUACACCUUCCCAAACUCUACUAAAUCAGAGUCGGGUAGGCCAAUCUAGAUCUUCCAAAUUUGAUCUAAGGCUAACUCGUCAUAAUCAGCUCACAGGUGUCCACUAAGGACAAUUUUCCGGGUAAAGGCUUGAGUGCUAGAACCCCUAGUUUCUUAAUAUAAAGGCUAACUCAUAAGUGUCUCUUAACCACAACACUUGCUGACUUGACCAUGGAAUGUUUGUAGGUACACCACCUCCCUCCAUAGAAAAAGGAAGUUACUGAUUGAAAGAAGGAAGUACACACCAUCUACCCCAAAUGCCCCUCAACCACAGUGCUCUCAAACAAUAGAUCUCAAGUCUGGUAAACAAUUAAUGAGUUAGAGAUACCUGCUCAUCUUUUUGAUCUUCAGCAUAAUAUCCUCCUCACUACUUCUAAUUCCAAGGUACAAUAGAAAUUAGAGAUAAAAGUAAAAAUUAUAUUGUUACUAAAUUUGUCUUAUUAAAAUUUAGGCUUAAUUGCUAUUUUCGUCCCUUAACUAAUUUUUUAGUAUCGCUUUGGUCCCAUAAUUAAUAAAAAGUCCGUUUAAGUCCUUUAAAUAUGUCUUCGUUACAUAAAUUGGUCCCUUCCGUUAAUUUUAUUAAAAAAAACGUUAACUCAAGCACACGUGUCAUUUUUGCAUUGGUUAGAAUUUAUAUUCAUCUUCUUCCAACUCACCUUCAUCUUUUUCAACAAAUCUUUUUUUUACCCAGAAGAAUUUUUUUUUUUUUUACCUUUAUCAUAUGAAAUCCAAAUCUAAACACUUUAUUUUUUUCUCUUUUUCUUCAUCUUCUUCCAUCAUCUUUUCAUCAUCAUCAAUAAAAUUUCCAAGAAACACAGAAAAUCAAAAUAAAAUAAAAUUAAGUCUUAUUCUUUAAUUACUACACCAUCAACACACACUUUUUCUUUAUUGUAUUUUCCCAUCAAAACCAUUUUGUAACAAUAGGAAAACUUUCUCAAUCACAACCAUGCAAUCUCAUCAUCAAGGUUAUGAACACCAAUUAUAUGUUUUGUUGUUGUUCUUGUCUUGAACCCCAAUUUUCAUUAUUCGUUGAUUUUUAACACAAACACGCAAACACAAAGCCAACAUCAGCGUGCAUCACAAAACCAACACACAUCACACACAAAUCUUCAUUAACAUUUUUUUCUUCAAAUUUCAACCUUCUUCCAUUCUUUAUUUGUUGUUCCUCUUCUUUCUUCCUCUUUGUUCCUGUUCUCUUCUUCCAAUCUUUCAUAAAAAAACUCAUUUUCGAAUGCCAAUCAUUCAUCAUCAAUAGCAAUCCUUUCAAAUUCCAAUCUAAACCCAUUUUUGGAUCUAAUCUAAAUUCUUCCAAAUCCCAAUCUAAACCCAUUUUGUUGUUGUUGUUGCUGUUGUGUUUUUGUUGGGGAGCAAAUUUGGACCAGAUUUAUUGUGUUGUGUUGUUAUUGCAACUUGAUUUUCUUUUCCACAGAUUGAACCAAAAAGAAGGAAAUUUUCUGCAGAUUUUUAUUUCUGCAGAUUUGAAUGAACAACAAAACACAUCAAAAAAACUUUACAUUUAUCAUAUGAAAUCCAAAUCUAAACCCUUUAUCAUGGUGAUGGGUUUAGAUCAGAAAAUGAGUUUUUGUGAAGAUUGAUGAUGAUGAUGAAGGGUUUAGAUUGAAUUUGAAAAUGAAUUUUUUUUUCUCCAUUUUCUAUUUCCAUGCUUAAGAAUCAAUUUGUUUUCUUCCAAUUUCAAUUUCAAGGUUCGAUUUUUUUUCUUCAAUUUUUUGUUUUGCUGGGUUUUUUUCAUGAAGGUUGAUGAGGAAGAAGAUGAAGAAGUUGAAUGAAGGUGAUGACUUGUACAAACCCUAACAGUUUUUUAAUAAAAUUGAAGAAAGGGACCAAUUUAUGUAACGGAGACAUAUUUAAAGGACUCAAACGGACUUUUUAUUAAUUAUGGGACCAAAGCGAUACCAAAAAAUAAGUUAAGGGACAAAAAUAUCAAUUCAGCCUAAAACUUAACAACAAAAUUAGAAACAGAUUUUUUGCCUUUUCCCGUUUCUAAAUUUGCUACCAUGUGGAGGAUAGUAAUUAGAGAGGGUUGCCAUUAAAAGAAAAAGGUAAUUAGAGAGGGUUAAACUAAAAUAAAUUAAUUAAUACUAGGUAGAAAGAUAAAAUAACACUAGUUUUAAAAUAAUUUUUCUUUGCAAAAUGUAAUGUUUAUUAUUGUAAGAGGAAAUAAAUUUUUAAAUUUUAUUGUUCUAAUCCAAUCCAUUUCUGUUUAAAACAUAGAAUAAAACCAAUGAAGCUAACAAAAAGAAAUGGAGAAAUAAGAGUUUAGAUGUAAACGUCAAGAUGAUGACAUACAGGAGCAUAAAAGAUCUAAGAAAAAUAGGAAUAAGACUUAAGUCUAGCAAGACACAAAGUCCAAGAGACAUGGAUUUCUCCGAAGGAUGAUUGGUUGCAAAACUGACAUUACCUGAGAUCGUUGUGGACGACACAUCAGCUGCUACUUUCCUCAACUUAAUAGCGUAUGAGAUGUGUCCAGAUUUUAAGAACGACUAUGGAUUUUGUUCUUUUGCAGCUUUCAUGGACUCACUCAUUGAGCAUCCUGAAGAAGUGAAGCUAUUGAGAUCAAAAGGGAUUUUGCUCAAUUCCCUUGGGAGUGAUGAGGAAAUUGCCGAUCUUUUCAAAAUCAUAGGUACUGACUUGAUACCUAAUACUGAAACAUACUUUGAAGUAAGAGCCAAAAUAGAUGAACAUUACAUGUGAAUUCGAAGCAUUUGAAACACGAGAAUUUCAAGCAUUUGAAACUUCAAUUCCAAGCUUUAUCUAAUAAGACAAGUAUAUAUUAUAGGGUGGGUAUUCAUAGACAUGAUAACGCACAAAGUAUUUUUUUUCAAAAAUAAAAAGCACAAAAGUAUUUAUUUACGAAAUAACUUAACAACAAAAUUCAACUCAAAUCUAAUCACUAGCUAUGAAAAUGACAGACUUGAUGAUGAUGAAUAAUUUCUUUAUCAACUUCAGCACAAGCAUUUUUUAUUUUUUUAAGGAAACUUCAGCACAAGCUUCACUUAGUUUUUUUCCGGUCUUUUCCUCGAUCACUGAAGAAGAAAAAUGAUUAUAUAAUUGGAAUAUGGUUUCAAUAAUUCAUGAAUGGAACAAAUGACUUAUUUAUCAAAAUUAUUUAAGUGUGGUACAUGUUAAAAAUUUAUAAUCAAAUGCAAUAAAAUAGAGAUGCGAUUAAGUGCAAUAGAAAAGCGGAGAAACGGGACUUCCCAUCUUCCACUAGUAGAGCUUAAAAAAAAACUCAAUUAUUUUAAGGCUCCAAUGGUUAGAAGUAGUAAGGUAACAAUGACAUAUUUAUAGAUUUGAUGAAAUUAAGCGACUUCGUAUAUUUUACGAGAGCCAAAACUCUAUAUAGGUUGAUAUAUGAGCUAUAACAGAUGUUCUUUGGCAAAUGAGCACCUUCGAUUGAUGUCGACGAUGAUUGUGGAACAAAAAAAAAUGACACAAUCAUGUAAAGGGAUAAUGCAAAUUGACCUGGUGUAUUCUUUAUAUUUGAGUAUGGUGGAACAUGAAAAAAAAAAUUAUUUGGAGAGCUCUAUCAUUUGCAAUGUGCUCAAGAGGGAAUAUUAUGUUGACCGUUGCUUCAAGCGGUAUUGUAGCAUUGCUCAUACUUGGGGAAGAACAACACAUUUGAGGUUUAAUCUUACAAUAAUUGUUGAUAAAUUUUUAACUUGCGGCAUACAUCCCAAAAGUCCAUUAGCCGAGCUGAUUGUUAAUACAAAGCUUAUCAUAUGGGAUGAUGCACACAUUUUUUUGAAGCUCUUGAUCGUAGUUUAAGGGAUAUUCUUAGACAUAAAAAACAACUAUAGGUUGGAAUUCCUUUUGGUGGAAAAGUUGUUGUGCUAGGUGGAGAUUUUCGACAAAUUCUUCCAGUUAUACCCAAAGGAACAAGACAAGAAGUUGUUCAUGCAAGCAUUAAUUCUUCGUAUCUUUGGCAUUAUUAUGAACUUUUAACACUAACAACUAAUAUGAGGCUCUUACAUGAUUAUUCAAGUCAUGACCUUCGUAAAAGAAAAGAAUUAGGCGAGUGGGUCCUCAAAAUUGGUGAUGGGAGUAUUGGGGAAGUGAAUGAUGAAGAUAUAAAGCUUCAAAUUCCAGGUGAUUUGCCUAUUCACAACACAGGAGAUCAUAUUGCAUCUAUUGUUGACUGCAUAUAUCCAUCUCUUUUACGUAACAUGCAUGAUCCCUCGUUUUUCUAAGAUAGAGUUAUUUUGACACCUAAAAUUGUCACUGUUGAUGAGAUUAAUGAUUAUAAUUUGUCUCUCAUUCUUGGUGAAGAAAAGACAUAUUUGAGUUGUGAUUCUUCUUGCUUAAGCCCAUCAACGGUCAAUAGGCCAGAUGAUAUCCAUACACCAUAAUUUUUUAACUCAAUUAAUUCUUCUAAUCUCCAAAAUAAAAAAGUAAAUUUAAAGUUGGAGUUUAUGUGAUGUUAUUGAUAAAUUUGAACCAAACGGCAGGCCUAUGGAAUAGAACUAGGAUGAUAAAAGAUGGGAGAUGUGUUCUUGAAGGAAAGGUGAUAACAUGAAGCAACAUUGGCGAUAAGGUAUGGAUGCCUAGGUUAUCAUUGACACCUUCUGAUACAUGAAUUCCUUUUAAAUUUUAACGUAGACAAUUUCUUAUAUAUAGGUGUAUGUUAUGCAAUGACUAUUAACAAAAAUCAAGGACAAUCACUCAAACAAAUUGGCGUAUAUCUUCCACAACUCGUAUUCUUGCAUGGUAAACUGUGUAUGUUGCAAUAUCAUGAGUUACAAUAUUGGUCCGAAAAUUUUGCUAAUAGAUGAAGGUGUUUGCAUUUAUAGUACUUUGAAUGUAGUGUAUAAAGAAAUUUUUCGAAGAAUGUGUAAACAUGGGAAACUUCAAAUAUAAUAUUGUAUUUAUUAUUAUAACAUUAAAAUUAUAAAAUUGGUAUGUACUAUAUAAUUUUGCUUUUAUCUACUACAUCUACGGUGUAUAUGACCCAUGCGGUAGCACGCACAUGUCGAUGAUCUAGUUAGGUUUCUAAUCCCAAGGAGUUAAAAGGCAAGCAAGAAGUACCAAACAAACAAAAAAAAAGUAAGAAAUAGAAGAAGAAGAAGCUGCAUGUGCAUGGAUUUAAAUUCUAGAACAGUAAAAGCAAAGAUCUUUUUUCCAUGAAUUUUACUUUUCUUGUCCAUUGAGUAAAGCGGUGGACAUAUAGUUCGUUCCGAGGACAAGUUACUUUAGCAGUGAAGAGGACAAGUAUAAAAAUUUAUUAAAGUCGAAAUUUAAGAUAGUUUUUUUAAGAAAGCAGAUUUACUUAACUUGUUCAUUAGGUAAAGGUUUGAGAGCAUGAAAAUUUAAAGCACUACACUGAUCCCUUAUAAUCGUUAAUUUUGAAAGAUCAAUAUCCCUCAAAUAUUAUAUUGAAUGAAGGAUGGCAUCCCAAACUAUUAAAGAAAAAUUUGUGGAGCUACAAAAAUCAAUGCAAACACCCCAAAAUUCACGACCGAAGAUACAAAGGGUGGUUGACCGUUUCAGAAAUAGAACAAAUUUUGAGAAGCAUUACUCACCCAAGUUUGUGUCAUUAGGUCCUAUCCAUCAUGACAAUCCAAAUCUGAAGAAAGGAGAGAAGUACAAACUUAUGUGGGCAGCAAAAUACAUAGAAAACACCAGACACAUUCCAGAGGAUCUACACAAAAAGAUUGCAGAUAACAUUGAUGAACUGAAGGGUCAUUUUGACAACGAUGUUUUAGCUUCAACCAGUUGGUCUCUUGAAGGCUUUGGUAGCCUUGAAGAAAAGCUAUCGUGGAUGUUGUUCGUGGAUGGAUGUUCUUUGCUUCAUAUCUUGGAGAGAGCCAAGCUUGAUGAACCAGGGCAAAUGAAUAUCAAGGUUGAUCAACUUGUUCUUGUAAUGAUGGAUGUGCUUUUGUUGGAGAAUCAACUUCCUUAUCAAGUACUCAAGCUAUUGUGGAAAGAUGAAGACCAGAGUGGAUUGAUAAAAAGCAUGAUGAAUUUCCUCGCCUGUCAUCAUUGGGCCACACCAGAUGAGUCACAGUCAGAGAAGAAGAAGGACAUGGUUCCAAAAAGAAAAGCAGAAAGAGAGCAUAGUUUAUCAAUACGAAAUGAGUCACAGUUAGAGACACCCUUUCAUCUUCUUGAUCUUCAACGUAAUAUCAUCCUCAUUACAUCUACAACCAAGGUACAACAGAAAUAUUAGAGAAAAAAAUUAAAAUUUGUCACUAAAUUAUUUGUCUUUAAAACUUAAUGCAAAAUUAAUAAAAUAUUUUUCCUUUUUCCGUUUCUAAAUUUCAUCACUAUUUCAACUUUUUUUGUAUUAGUUAAAGUUUAACUAUCAUUAAUUUUCAACUUUUUGAGAAAUAAACUGACAUAAUUUUUAGGCUUAAAUAUGUAAAUCGUCCCUGUAAUUUGGCGUGUUUUUGAUUUUCGUCCCUGUAUCUUUUUUUGUUUUAAAACAAUCCCUAUAAGUUAAUAACUUUUUGAUUUUCGUCCCUCCCGUCAACUUCCGUUACAAAAACGCACAUGUGGCAAACGGACGAUGACGUGGUAGUGCCUGACGUGGCAGACGAUGCUGACGUGGAAAACUUAUUGAUGAGUCACACAGUGAGAGGGACCAAAAUCAAAAAACGAAAUUUGUCGAAGGACCAAAGCCAAAAAAACAAAAUUCGUGAAGGGACCAAAACCAAAACCAAAAAACGAAAUUUGUAGAUGAACUUGACUAUUUCCAGGACCAAAACCAAAAAACGAAAUUUGUAGAGGGACCAAAACCAAAAAACGAGGAGACGAAAAAUUCAAAUUUAAUUACAUUUCUUCAUCUUUUUCCCACAUCUUCUUCUUUAUUACUAUAUAUCAUUGUCUUCAUAAACUUCAUCAUCAUCAUCAACCAAACACAGAAAUUCAUCACUUCAAAAUCCAAAAAUCCAUCAACUCAAAACAACAACAAACUCAAUCCAACACAUUCAAUUAUAACUUCUCUUUUAUUUCUUCUCACAAACAACAAAAUCAAAUUAAACCAAUAUACCCACUGUUCAACGUGCAAUCUAAUUUCACACACUUUAAAAUAAAACUUAUCUCAAUUCAACAUUCCAACAUAUUUUUCAAUUCUAUUUAUUAUCCCUCUAGAACUUCAAAUGAAAAGAAUAUUCAUAUCAAACUUGAACCUUUCUCUUACAAUCCAAUUUCACACAACAAUCUUCCAAAUCAAUCGGAAAUAAAGAACACGACCCAAAUGUUCGAAACAAAAAUGAUGAUAUUAGAGUUCAAAGAAUUGACGAAGAAAGCAUUUGGAGUGACCAAGAAACAGCAGAGAUGCGAGAUCAAUGAUGAGACGAGAGUUGGUAAUGAAAAAAAAUCAUUCUUUAGGUUUUUCAAUUUGAGAAUUUUGUGAAUUUUUUCAAUAUUGGGAAUUCGAGCAUUCACAAUGAGGAUUUUGUUGUUAUAAUUUGAUUUCGAUAUUAUCAAUAAAAGUUUAGUUGUGGAUUUUAGUGUUGAGAUGUCAAUCUGACCAUUGUCAAUGGGAAUUUUGUUUGGGUUUGUGAGAAGUUGUCUAUUGAGAGUGAGAUGAUGAUUUUGAGUUUUUUUUUAAUCUCUUUUCUGAGUAUUUUUUCCUGGGUUUUUUGAUGAAUUUAUGAAGACAAUGAUGAAGAUGUUAAAGAGGUGGAAGGAAGAAGAUGAAGAAAGCUAUUUUUUCUCGCUUUUUGGUUUUGGUCCCUUUACGAAUUUUGUUUUUUUGGCUUUGGUCCCUCUACAAAUUUCGUUUUUUGGUUUUGGUCCCUCUCACUGUGUGACUCAUCAAUAAGUUUGCCACGUCAGGCACUGCCACGUCAUCCUCCGUUUGCCACAUGUGCGUUUUUGUAACGGAAGUUGACGGGAGGGACGAAAAUCAAAAAGUUAUUAACUUACAGGGAUUGUUUUAAAACAAAAAAAGAUACAGGGACGAAAACCAAAAACACGCCAAAUUACAGGAACGAUUUACAUAUUUAAGCCUAAUUUUUAUAUUUGGUAUAUUAUGAACAUGUGCCCUUAGUGCGCAUGUUAUUAUUUUCCAUAUUUUAAUUACAAAGUGGAGAUAGUGAUUAGAGAGGGGUGUGCAUAAUAGUGAUUAGAGGGUUAAACUAAACUAAAAUAUUUAAUACUAAGUAUAAAGGAUGAAAUAACAACUGUUUUAAAAUGUUUUUCUUUGCAAAAUGUGAUAUUUUAUUAUUGCACGAGGAAUGAAAUUUUGAAAUUUUAAUGUUAUGAUCCAAUUCGUUUCUGUUUGAAACAUAGAUUAAAAACAAUGAAGCUAACAAAGAGAAUAUAAGUAAGAAGAGUCGAGAUAUUGAAAAGGUCAAGAUGAUAUACACGAACAUAAAAGAUCUAAAAGCAUUAGGAAUAAGACUUAAGUCAAGCAAGACACGAAGGCCAAGAGACAUAGAUUUCUCCGAAGGAUGGUUCACUGCUGAACUGACUCUUCCUGAGAUCGUUGUGGACGACACUUCAGCCGCUACUUUCCUCAACCUGAUUGCAUAUGAGAUGUGUCCAGAUUUUAACAACGACUAUGGGUUUU
rnacentral:lncRNA from 1 species